rnacentral:lncRNA from 1 species
UCGGGAGGACUAAUUCCAGUUCGAGCUUGCUUUCGUUUUACGAAGACUCUGCUGAUCCGUACAAUAAGCCGGGGAAUUAAUUUAAAUAAAUAAAAGUUUAAGUUAAAUUAAGGUCGUUUUUUUCUUUUUUCCUUUUUCUUUUGCAUUUGUAGCUUUUGUUCGGGUCUGAAAUGAUGAAACGAUCCUUCGAGAUGUGUGUGAAUUUGUUAUUUUCACCGAAAAUAACAAAAAAUAUGUAUGAAGUAUCGAUACGUACAUGUAUGUAUGUAUGUAUCGAAGGGGAAAUGAUGUAGAUCGUUGAUCGUUCCAUGUAGUUUCAGAUCCCAGUGUUUGUGAUAUGUACAUGUAAUAUCGAAUGCAGAACUUAUGGUUAUAUAUUUGUUUGUUCUUUAUGUUCUUUAUGAUCAUGUUGUUUUAAAGCUUCAAAGAAUAACCUAAUGUUUUACCCUCUGGAAAUCAAUUGUUGAAUUGUACUCGAAUUUCUUUAAAAACCGAUUUUAAUCCAAUUUUCACAAUGAUUAUUUGACGAACUUAUUGCAGAUUUUCAGUUAAAGUGGUUUCAGGAGCCUGGAGUCUGGAGACAUGUCCUUAAAAUGCAACGUUUUAGUGAAACUGGGUUCAUCAUUGCAUAUUCUGGAGUAACAGAUUAUUAUUUCCACAGUUAAAUGGUAAAUUACUGAAAUUGGUAUGAAAUGUUGGUUACUUGAAAUUGAUUUUGUGUGUACACGUGUAGGGUCCAAAUCUCUGCAAGCGUAUGCAUGUUAUAUUUUAUAUAAAGAUUUUUAAUGUGAAUAUAAGAAUAGGCUUAAUUUAAGAUUUUUAAUAUGACGAGAAGAUUUUUAAUUUUCGUUUUAGAAAAAUGUUAUCUCCAGAGCAAGGUAUUUGUUUUCAGAACAAAUUCAAUUCCCACUUCCCCUUGCAUCCAUAUAAAUCAUACAACUUCAGCAUAAAUUUCUGCAAAUUACUCUGAAAAUUAAAAAACUGCUCUGGAUAUAACAUUUCUCUUCGUUUUAGUACUAAUAUAAAGGGUCGGUCUGCUCAUAUAAAAUCAUAGCAUAAAUUAGUAUUCCCUCUGUCCCAUUUAAUUGUAUACGUUUCUUUUCAACUGCUCGACACGCAUUUCAAUGCUCUUAUAAAAUAUAGUUCCGUAACUUAUUUUUGAGAUUUUCUUUUUCUGUAUAAAAAUAUAACAUCCAAACUUUAAUUCAGAAAAAGAAAAUUUUAAAAAUAAAUUACACAACUACACUUUACAGGAGCAUUAAAGUCCGUGCCGCGUCCCCGUCCCCCAAUAUAUACUACUCAGGGGAACGGAGGGAGUAGUAGUAAUAUUUUCAUGAUGAACAUACAAGCUUAUUAAGAACUGAACUAAUUAAUUAAUUAGCAUUUAUGUGGAUUCAAAAUUGCUAUAUAGUUUGAUCCCCACUUUAAAACUGAUAUAUGUCUUGUAUGUAGACGGUGAUUAAGUCCUAUUACAAGUUAAGGAGCUGAAUCAAUCAUGCUGUUCCGGAGAAUGAAAUGAAAAAUUAUAUAAAAAUUUUAACAAGAAAUAAAAUGUAUAAGAUAAUAGUGACAAGAUAGGAAUGUAUUUAAAUUUCAUGUGAGAAAGUUAGUAAAGCAAAAUGAUGUACAAAUAGAAUGAGCAUUCCUUCCAAAACGUGUGGAUUAGAAUAGUUAAAAUAAUAGGAAUGGAAUGAUUGAAGGAAUAAAAAUUAUAUACAUUUUCUUUCAUCAACAUCAUUUUAUAGUACAAAAUUCAUUUCAUUCUCACUCCAUUCUAUUCUCUCCAAGUGAACACAACCUCAGUGAUCAUAACAUCAACCCAAAAAUAACAAAUCAAGCUUUGGGGAUAAACUCUCUCCGUCCGUUCCUUUUUUUUUUCUUUUGCGUGGUAGUCGUCGGGUUUCCACUGCAUCGUAAAAAGUCCCAAAACAUUUUAUUUCUUUUAUGUUUUCUUCCUUUUUUCAAUAAAACUUGUUUUAAAGUUUUGAUUUCCCUAAAAAAACUUAUUUAUUAGGUAAGAGUGGUAUGCUUUUUCGGAUCUAAAGAUUCAAUAAUUUUCGAUUUGGUCUCCUUUUUCUUAGAUCUCAAUUCUACGGAACUACAGAUUUCGUGUUCUUCCCAUUGUUUUACAGUUCGUGUGAGUAUGGUACUUAAUUUAGUAAUAAAAAUUAUUAGAGAAUUACAUUCUUAGUCGAUAGUUCAAAUUGGAAAGUGGCGAAGCAUGUGUAAAUAUUAUCUUCAACAAUCACGUGAUUUUAUUUGCAAGAAGAAUAGAUUAAUAAGUGAUUGUUUAUGUGUUUUGUUUGUUCGACGUGAUUAUUUAUGUAAAUAUUGUAUAACUUUUUAUUAUUGAAUUAGCUCAUUUAUUGAAAAUAAUCAUUACAUAUAUAAAAGAAAUUCUCGACCAAAAUCCUUCAUUUCAAUAAAAACUAACUAGUUGUUAAUAUAUAUCGUAAACACAUACCUGAAAGAUGCAUAACAAAAUUAGCACAUCACAUACAAAUAAUAUCAUCUCGUGAUUACUAAAAUACUUAAUUUAAUCCGUGGUGAAACACAUUUAAGAAAUUUAUUGGUACUUCCUCCGUCCCACUCAAUUCUUUACAUUGGGUCUGGGCACGUAGAUUAAGAAAUAUGUAUAAAGUAGUGGAAAAGAAAAAGAAAAGUGGGUGAAGUGGUGGGACCCAUGGAUUUUUAUUUUUUUUUGCCAAGAUAGAUUUUUAAUAUAUAAAAGAAAGAUAGUGGAAUAAAAAUAACGUGAAAAGAAAGAAAAAAUGGGAAAAUGGUGAGACUCAUUAACUAUUUUAAGAAAGUUUUGUAAUGUAAUUAGAGUGGGACGAUUUAAGAUAGAAACUGUAAGGAAUCUGGUGAGACGAGACGGAGGGAGUAAAACUUUUGCGUCAUUUCGAUUUUACGGAAUGGUGUGAAAGUGAAACAAAUCUAAAAUAAGCUCAACCUGACAACAAAGUUGAUUCUGCUGUGGGAUUCCAUAUUAUACGGUACUCCCUCCAUCCCCCUGAAUUGUAUGCAUUGGGGGACGGGGACGCGGCACAGACUUUAAUGCUCCUGUAAAAUGUAGUUGUGUAAUUUAUUUUUAAAAUUUUCUUUUUCUGAAUUAAAGUUUGGAUGUAAUAUUUUUAUUCAGAAAAAGAAAAUCUCAAAAAUAAGUUACGGAACUAUAUUUUAUAAGAACAUUGAAAUGCGUGUCGAACAGUUGAAAAGAAACGUAUACAAUUAAAUGGGACAGAGGGAGUACUAAUUAAGGGGUGGCAGUUUCGGGUAACGGGUCGUGUUCGUGUCAGCAAUCGGGUCGAUUUCGACUUUUCGAGUCAAUUUCGGGUCAAGCUAAAAUCACUUAAAAUUGAAUAAAACUUAAAAUUGAAGUUAUUAGAAACAAAAUUCUAAUUUCGGGUCAUGUCGGGUACAGUUCAUUUUAAAACGGGUGAUUUUCGGGUCAUUUUCGGAUUUUUUUUCUUAGUAAAUCGGGUUACGAGUUCGGAUCGGGUUCGAAUCGGGUUCGGAUCGUGUCUGAUAUUGCCAGCCUUAGUAACAAAUUUAUCCCAAGUAUUCAUUCAGUGAAGCUCAAACUCAUGCUCAUUUUUGCUCCUUGUUUUCUUCCGGGUAAUUUCUGUAAUCACGUGGUGACUGAAUGAGUGAAUGCUGAUUACAACAUUGACGGACAGGAGUUGCCCAGGUCUCUAACAAGCCUGCAGGCUGCAUGUUUGUUUCCUGCGAGAUACUCUGCUCACUACUCUUUUCCUAUUUUUUUACUCUUAAAAACGGACGGUGGUCUUUCUAGAGUGUCAUUUCCAAGAUAAACUAAAUUAUGCUAAAGCACGAGAAUUAGAGUGCAAUUUGUUUUUAAUCAUAGUUAUUCAUGUUACUUUCUUAGUGGGAUGGUCCGGCUCCGGCACCUUGGGGGUCCAUGGUGCUCACAUUGAGUUAAAUAAUUGUUACUUAGUCAUGUCGGUCACGUGGGCAACUCAACCCGGCUCAGAUGCCAUCGUAGACUCACCGUACCCUUCUGCCCGAAUAAAACACAAGUUUUAUAAUUUUCCCUUGCAUAAUGGUCCUGUUUGGAAGUUAGAGGUUUGAGCAAAAAUUAAAAGUUUGAGGUGGUUUAGAGGUUUGACCAUCGAAAUCCGCUAAUUUUAGUGUUUGGUAGUUAGCGAAUUGAAAUAGAGGUUUGGGUCCAAAAAGCUAACUUUGUAAAAGCUAGUUUGAGGAGUUUUUUGGAUUAGAGGUUUUGGUUUGUGUCAGAAAAAGCUAAUCAAUCAGCUAUUAACCAAACAUUUUUACGGAAAACAGCUAAUCCAAUCCGCUAGUCAAAACAUCUAAUUCAAUCAGCUAGUCAAAACAUCUAAUUCAAUCCGCUAACAGCUAACCGCUAAUCCCCAAACAGGGUCAAUAUAUUCUACAUUUGGAAAUUAUUGUUACGAGUUACGACCUUCAUAUUGUAGAGUUUCUAUUGGGGUUAAAAUGGCUUGAUCAUAACUAAACUGGACUUCAACUUGCAAGUGGAUAACUAAACUCAAAAACCUUGCAUUUAACUCACUAAACCAGCUUUUACUUGCAAUCAGAUAACUUCCGUUAAAUCAACUAACGUGACUAACAGCAAAUAGUAUGACAUGGCACUGAGUUUACUGUCUAAAGUGUAGAAUAGUUGGAUCUGAUCCAAACCUAACAUUAUUAGUUUAUUUUCGGACAAUUGUAUAUGAAUGCCACGGAACCAGAUCUGCAUAUACUACCUUCUUCUUUUGAAUCAUUAUUAAAUCCUGCAAUCACAUUUAAAGGCAAAAGAAUGUGAUAAUGAAAAACAAACUACAUGGGACAACAUAAACGAGAGCAAGUGUCACUGCAGCCUCUGGGGGAACCCAAAAUUUGUCCAGUUUCAUCAACAUAUGUACUUUUUUCACUGAUCCACUUUAAAUACUACGCUCACCCUUCUCUUUCAUCUUUCAUGAUUGUUAUUCUCCCUCGCGUGUGUAUAAGCCGUACGUGUAUGAUUAAGUUGGGGGUGCUUUGGAUCGACUAAACUAAGGGUAGUGGGUUAACUGAAUUGGGGUGAGUUAUGAAAUAAUCGAGCAGGUCAGAUGAAUUUGGGUCAGAUGAAUCUACGUGGCAGUUGGCUUGUAAAAAGUUAACGAUCUUCCGUUAAAAAUUAACAUCAUCUAAUGGAUGUGCAGAUUUUAGUUAGUUUAAUUAUUUGAUUGCAAGUAAAAACUAGUUCAGUGAGUCAAAUGCAAGGUUUUUGAGUUUAGUUAUCCACUUGCAAAUUCAAGUUCAGUUUAGUUAUGAUCAAGCCAUUUUACCCGUUUCUAUUGCAAGAGCCGAAUGCACACCAAAAUUCAAAACUUACGCUACAAGUAACACCGCAAUCCCACCUCGAGUCGUGCACCCCAGUUCCACAUCGAGUCGUGUGGAGACAUUAGUUCAGUUUAUAAGCAUAAGUAUUUCUACUAAUUUUGAGGGCUUAUGAUAGACUUGUGGAUUACCCAUGUUGUUGCAGUUGAGCCAAUUUAUUUCGAUUUAAUUUCGGAUUCGCUUGACCUGAUACUCGAGAUUUGAUCCGGGUUGUCACACUCUUACCAUCACUCUUAUAAUAUGAAGGUAUCAUAGUUUAAAAACUUGAAUUCCUGAGUGAUGUACUAUAAAAAAUGCAUUCGGCUUUGAAUACACAAAACUAAUCUAACAAACGCACUCCCAAUGAUAAUCCCAAGGCUGAUAAACAUUUUACAGAUCCCACCUACAAGGAACAAAUUAACCAUUCCAGAACAUGAUACAAGCAAUCUUACACGUGCUUUAUACUUUAAGAGUGCUUCUUCACUUCCUCAUUCAUUUUUUAAUUUAGACGCUUUUUUUUUUUUAAGGAAUUUAGACGCUUCUUUUAAUUUUAAGAAAAUGUAUAAAUGAAUAUAUCAGUCAUAUUGAGCUCCAUAAAUAAUUCACAUCCAUUUUACCGAGAACAUAUAUUGAUCCACCAAAAUCGCCAAAAAAGAUAGAAAAUUUCAUAGCGGAACGGUUUAAAAAAGGGUUCUUAACUAUUACUAACUUAAACCAAGGGAUGAAGAGCACGAUUGGAUAGCCCAAGUGGUUAAGGGUUUAUCCUCUGUUGGGGUCCUGGGUUCGACUCUGGCUCACCUCGAGAUUAUCUUAGAACAGAUACUCAAAUUGUAAGGCUAUAAUAAGCCAUGUUAGUAAAAAAAAAAAACCAAGGGAUGAAACUUUGCCACAUAGGAAUUAGUAGCCCCACAUAAGGUUGAGUGGAGAAUCGGAGGGAAGAUUUAAAGAUAGCAGCAGUUAACAAAAGCAUAGAGUGAAAAUGACAUGAAGCACAAUGUAGCAGAGGGAGUCAACUUAACGGUAACAGGACUAGUCGAAAGAAAUGACGCCAAGUCCAUAAAAGCAUGCUCGAUGUUUCCAAUGCAGAAGAAUAUCACUAGUAAGUAGCGGUAGCAAUCAAGUAAAGGAGGAAUCUACUAAUACAUGGGAAAAAACGGAAACAUGAUCAUUCAACAAGACCUUGUUCGGUUGGGUGUUUAAAAGUAUUUGAUUUUGUGGUUAUUAUUAAUUAAAAAAUGGAUGCGAGUAUGAAAGGGUUACCUGAGAUAUCAAUUUUAAAGUUAGUUUUUUUUUUUUGACGAAAUUUUAAAGUUAUUUUUUAUUUCAUCAUAAAAUAUUGACAACAAUUAUAAAAUAUAUGUACGAACAAAUGUCGAUAGUACCAAAAAAUAUUUAGAAUUUUUCAUGUAAAAACAUAAAUUAAUUUAAUUUAUAAUUUAACAAUAUUUUAAAUCAAGAAAUGAUUCCAACAUAUUAACCUGAUUCCAAAUUGUAAAUUACAAAUUCCAGGCAUAUACCUCUUAAAGAAUUAUAUAAGCUCUAAAAUAUUUUAGACACACGCAUGCAAUAUAUUUAUUAUUUUUUGUUUAAUUUCUAUUAUGUUUCAAAUGACAACUUAAAAAUAUACAAGGCUUAUUCAAUGAUUAUAGUUCGAAUGAUGAAAACAAUUUCGUUUGGAUGAUAGAAAUUUAUAAUUUAAUCAUUUUAAAUGUUCUUGUUGAUACCAUGCGAUCCUGUAUUAAUGAUUCAUUUAUUCUAGAAAAAUGUAAAUCCCGGGAAUACAAUCUAGAUGAUCGAAGUAUAUAAUGUCGACCAUUUUAAUUUAUUAAGUGAAAUUUUUAUACAUUAUUAUACUGAGAUUAUUAAAUUUUACUAAUUUUUCAAGAUAUUGAUUAAUCGAAAAUAAAUAUGUAUCACUAUUAUUAUGUGGUGAGUAAAAUUCUAGAAUUCAAAUAUUAAUUUAUUAUAAAUUAUAAAUUAAUAAAUUAUUGGUUAUUUACUCCUAUAUAGAACAUCACCGGACCCACGACGAGCAAUUGUUCAUUUGGAUUAGUGCUAUGCACGGCCGCGGACAUAAACGUGGACUAAUGUACUGGAUCAUUUGAUUGCAGUCCACUUUCCACAGCUUAUGAAGUACUAGCAGUCCAGGCGUCUAGCAGAUAGGAUGGACAUUCACCCGGACCGCUCGACCCUGCUCCGCUCCCCACUCCGUUCGGGUUGGGGAUUCAGGGAAUAUCACAAUCUAAAAAAAUGAUCACGAAUAUUUUAUAGUUAAAAGAACAGAACGCUAAAUCGUGCAGCAUUCUCUUGUGGUUAAGAAUACAUAACGCUAUUUCUUGUAAUAUUUUACGCUACACUAUCUAGCAUUUCUAAUUUGGAAGAACUCUAUAUUAUCCCGUGUUACUAGCCGGCGAUAGGACCAUUUUUAGUUAUAACUUCUGCAAGCGAGUAUAGACAUUAAUUCCCAAAUUUGGGAUAUAGCGGUUUGGUUUAACUUAAAAAAAAUGACUUCUUGCUUAUAGUAAAGAAGUGGAGUAGAAGUGAGAAGUAAAUAAGUUAAUAAAGUGUUUGGAAAAGAAGCAGAAGCUGUGAGACAGAAGCUAGCAUUCUCAAAUUUUUAAAAGUGCUUCUGCUUAUUCGUACAAACGGGUUAAGAAAAGUAGAAGCCAAAAGCAGGUAUUACUUCUUGCAAACAAACAGUACCAUAAACAAGGAAGAAUAUACUAUAAUUUUAUAAAGGGAUAAUUAAUUCUGACGUCCCUGAACUAUAGGUUGUUUAUUAUCUAGGUCCCUCUCCUAUUUUUCUCAAUAAUGCGAUCCUUAAACUUUUAAUUUUUUCUGAUUCGCGUCCUUCCGUUAAAAGUCAACUAACAGACGUUAGUCAAUGCUUACGUGUCUGAUGCUUACGUGUCUAGUGCUUAUGUGGCUGACUUUCCAAAAGCUUUUUUGCACCCUCGACAUCCAUAUCCACAAUCUUCUUCGAUUUCCAGCAUACCCCGUAAGCAUUGCCAAUGCUUUAGCAGCUGCUUCUUUAUCCUCAACAGCUUUACCAUCCAGCAUCCUCACCAAAGGUGCAAUGCCCCCAAAUUCCCCCAACUCCUUUCGCGUUUUUAUAUCGUAAUCCCAAAUUAUAAACAGCCCUAGCAGCAACAACUCUCAGUCUCUCACUCCCAACACAUUACAAUUCAAAUCCAACACAAUCCAUCCCAAAAUCCACUCAAAACAAUAACCUCAGCAAUUGGAUGACACGAAACUAAACACCUAAAUAACUCAACCACAACCUUCAAACCCCUAACAUUCGAAACAGAAUCCAAUAAUUCAUCAAAAACUUAACCCCGCCUUCCUUCACAAUAAAAAGCUUCAACCUUUCAUCAUUAAUCAAACACAAAUUACACAAACACCCAAUCACAUUUUCCCACAGUACAGACUUUUUCUUUGGCAAACCCGAAACCCGAUUCGAGGACACGAAUCAAUGCUUGAAUUAAAGCCAACCCUUCUGCAAUGAAAACAUGCUUGCUUGAAGAACUGAAACCCUAAAAAUCAAAACGACGUCGGUUUUUUUAAGCUGAGGGGACGAGUUUGAAUGCCGUAAGCGCAGGAGCAAAUGGAAAUAACAUAUUUUUGAAUAUUAUUUUAAGUUGCCAAAUCAACAGAAUAUAAGCAUUAGCCACGUAAGGAUCAGCCACAUAGCAUUGACUAACGUCUGUUAGUUGACUUUUAACGGAAGGAUGUGAAUCAGAAAAUAUUAAAAAUUUAAGGAUCACAUUAUUGAGAAAAAUAGGAGAGGGACCUAGAUAAUAAACCACUUAUAGUUCACGGACGUUAGAAUUAAUUAUCCCUUUUAUAAAGCGGAACUUAUAGAAUUACGAGAAAAUUUACCACUUCUUUUCGAAGUUGGAAACAAAACAAGGGACCAAAGCUCCUAUGAUGAGUUUUAAUCGGGGCUAAGUAUUCGGCUGGUUCGAUUUAAAAUCGAAAAUCGAUUUUUUUUUAAAAAAAAUUUGAACCGGACUGAAUUAUUAUUAUGAACCAACCAAAUCAAUCGAAUUAUUUUGAUUCGGUUUUGGUUUAAAAAAACUGAGUUUCUGAAAAUUGUAUUUUCACUGUAAAUCCAUAAACCUCAUUCAGACAAGCUUCACCAUUUAACACAUAGAAUUUCAUACAUUAAAACAGAAUAUCACUUGAUUACUAGGAGAGUAGAAGUAGCAACUAGCAAGCCAAAAUAAUAGUAUCUAUUACAUUUGCAUUACAGAGCUACACUGAAAUUGAAAAACAAAUGUUAUGUUUGCAAUCUCAGUCUGCAUCUGCAGUUCCAUUCUCCAGUUUCAGCCCUUAGCGUUUAAGCCAAGUCGCACUUCUACAAAUAUGUAAAAUAAAUGUUGAUUAGUACCAGCACUAUAUGAAAUGUUAGCAGACUAGAUAUAAACAUCCCCAGAUUAGGUGACUGGCUAACAACAGUGAAAUAAGUGUCCAGUAAAACAUGAAGAAGAAUCGGUGUAAAUUGCAAAAAGAAAAAAAAAACGAAGCAAAAAUAUAACAAGAGUUCCAUAAUGUGUUUGAUGCUGAAGUCCAGAAGCUUGAAGAAGCUCGGUGCAGAGAUCACUACAAGUCUACAGCUGGUAAUGACACCUGGCCCAUACAUUAACAUUUGAACAUUUUCAAAAAAAUAAAAAAGAAAAAACUAACAUUUGAACUAUGGCCCAUGAUAGCAUUCGUCUAUCUGAAUAUAUAGCCCAUACUUUUUAAGGGUCAAGGAGAAUAUCAGAAUACAAGUCAAUGCAAUAAACUCCCUGUUUAGUAUUUAUACAAAAGAAUUAGGGUGCAGUGCUCCAAAAGAGUAGGAGGAAAAAGGUUAAGAGAGAUUUGAAUCCGCGACCCAAGUUUUUGUUUGGGCCUUGGACCAACUCGGUCAUCUCAUAUCAUAGGAAAAGCUAAUCAAAAAGUAUUGGAGUUAUAAAAAAAAAAAAAAUCCUCUAGCCGUCGUGAGGGCUUCCAUAGGUUUUCAGAAAGCCCCAAAUCAGUUAUUUUCUUUGUUUUGUUUCUGUUUUUCAAUAAUACUACUCCCCAGGUAAGGAUUUCUAUCUUUCAAGAUUGUAUCUUUAAUAAAAUCUUUUUUGGCUGAGUUUUGUUCCCAAUUUAUUUGGGUUUUGUUUAUUCUUUCCUUGUGAGAGCUUGGCGUGUUUUUUUGGUGUGUUUCAAUGUCCAGGACAUUAGAUCUGUCAGAUUUUCAAAGUAUUGAUUCAGUGGUAAAGAUUCAAAGGAUUGAUUCAAUGGUAAAGAUUUAUAUGGGAUUGCAGUUACCAUCGAUAGCUCAAAUGAGUUUUGAUGAAGUUUUGAUGAAGGCUAUAUGUGUAUAUAUCAAUUUCAACAAAUCGCUUGAUUGUGUCUUUAUAAGGACUAGAUUAAUCAGCGAUAUGAUCUGUUUUAUGUUUUUUCGACUCGAUUGUUCUUGUAGAUGCCAUAUGACUUUUCAUUAUUAAAUUAAUUUCUUUUUUUUCAAAAAAAAAAGUAUUGAAGUUAUGAUAGUACAAAUUAAGAUUAAUAUUUAAUUGCCAUUAGAACUGCUCAACUUCUAUGCAAGAUUACACCUAAAUCUCCCAAGUGAAGAUCAAAAAUGCAUUAUGAAAUCAAGUGCUUGUCAUAUACAUAGAAAACAUGCUACAUUGUUGAGGAUAUGCAGUGCUUUGUCAUAUUUCUUGUACUGGGGGAGAAAAUUUUUUUAUACAUUGAAAAUAUAACACAACACACAACAUUUCACUUUCAACAUCAAAGAAACGUUUAUAUUGUAGGACAACGGAUUAUGUCCACUUGUGAGUAGUGGAAUCUUCUACGAACAUUGAAAAUGCGUAUUUUUACUGUUAAUAUCAUUGGAAUAUUAGUCACAUUAAGCAUCAGAACUCAGGGAAUAAAACAGAUCUCAACCAUAAAAACCAAGGACUAACUAGCCUAUCAAGCUUGUCGUAUUUCAACUACUACUUAGUAAUUACUGAAUACAAUAGCUCAAGUACCUUGGUCCAAACGUAGAUAACUAACUGAUAAACUACAAAGCAUUCUCCUCCAAGAUUAAUGUACUUCAAUUAUUUAUUUAAGCUCAGCAAUUUCUACUUGCAACAUAUAAACCCUUUGAUCCUGCAUAUUUUUCAUGCUAUUUAGUUUCACUCAAAUGCUGAACUGGACCUUAAAACUCCACGAAUAUGUGAAAACUUAAGAGAGUACUUCAUAUAUUUCUAUAAAUCAAUAGAUGCAGCAUCAAGUCAGCUAAUGUAUCAAUAUAUCUAUGAUAGUAGCUUAUCAAAGUCUGAUAAAAAUAUCGAAAGAAGGCCAUACCCUGCGCUGUGCAUCACAGAUCAAAAGGUGCACAUUCUGUUGGUUAACACAGGAAUUUUGCCUUUCCGGAAAAAAAUUCAAGGAGUGAUUACCCUAUAUGGCUAUAUCUAUAAGUUCUUCGAAAAUUCCUUCAAGUUCUUCACUUAUCUGCACUUUGUCAGUUACUUUACUUGGCCUGGGGUGGCAUUUAUAAAUUAGGUUAUAUAUAAAUUUAUCAGUGCACCAUUUAAGUCUCUAAAAUCAGAGAUCAGGAAUUUGUACUGUAUUAAAUAGUGAUGAACACGAUCCCGGCAAAAGCAGAUUUCUGAAAGAGGUCAAGUAAAAAAAGUACAAGUGCAUGUAUUAGACUAUUACUAAUAGCCUAUUAGAGUAUCUUAAAUUUUUUUGUUUAAGCAUUCCAGGCUCUUUGUCUGCAUCUAUAUUAAAAAUAUCUCUCCAUACUUGGACUGGGGCAGCAUAUAUAAAUUUAGGCUAUAUAUAAAUUUAUCAGUGCAACAUUUAGGUCUCCGAAUUGAUAAGCAUAUGUUCAACUAAGAACAGCAAUGGUUCGGUAAAAAAGAAGAAAAAAGAACAGCAAUGAUCAAGUUUCACAAGCAGUCAAGCAUCGUAAGCUAGUGGAUAGGUAACAGGAGGUUGAGGUUUUGAGUUUCAGUGGAGACAUCAGACAUGAUUAAAUAAAUAUAUAAAACAUAUAUGCAAUUGACAAUUACAAAGGAAUAAUAUGAACCUCAACUAUCAAUUCAGGUGGAGCAAUCUAUAAAAAAUAUAUGUCAUAAAGCAUACCGUUAGAGAUACUCACAUUAAUGAGAUAAGCUGGGAGAAUCUGCAGCUUCUGGCACAAAAGAAUAUGAACUUUAUUUCUUAGAGAUAAUCGAGUAUGCUCCAUGCAUUAUAUUACAAAAGAGGUGCCUUGAAAAAUAAGUUGAAAUUUUCAAUCAUUCUUCCAUCGCAGAGUAACUCAAUGAAACCUGAUUCUUAGUUCACAAAUAAAUAAAUCAGAUUACGGACCUUACUCAGGGGGGGAUGGGUUGCAGCAGCAUCCAUGAAUGUCUGCAAUAUUCAAAAACUUACAGCUACUAAUAAGAAAAGUUAUUUCAUACUGCAGUAUGAGGACAGGAUAAUGGGCAUUUCAGAGCUUACUGUUGAAGAUACACAUCAAUUAUAUAGGUAGAAAGUGCUUAGAAUUUAGUCGCUAUAUUCAGAUACAAAUCCAAUUUACUUAAGUAAUGUCCGAAUGACAAGUAAUCAAUUUUAAUUUUCAGAGUAACAAUUUGAAAUGGUGAUUUAAGAAGGCUAGGUAAAACAAUGCAAAUUAUGUAGGAAGACAUCAAUGACAUAUCAAACCAUUGCGAGUUUCGACCAGUGAAGAAUAUCUGUUGCAGUAUAAGGACAACUAGCAUUUGUGAUAAAGCAAACUACUAUAGGUCUUUACAUCUGUCAAGUAAACUAUUAGCAUUUUAGUGUACUUGCAGAAAAUAUAUUAGAUAGUCAUUCUAGACAUACCCACCCAUCUUAUACACUACCAAGAAUCCAAAAGAAUAUAAGUUUACAAAAGAUAUACUUUGUUAGGUUACAUUAGAGUUUAUGUCUUAUAGCAGAACUAUUUUACUUUUACCCGCAAACUAUCAAUUUGAUUCCUUGGAAGAUGUCACUAUUGCAAUGCUUUAAAAUAAAGUUCGAGAUGCCUAAAAAAGUUUUUUACUUCAAACAUAAUACUAAAUGGUUUCUUGGAAUAUAAUACUACUUAAAAGACAACAUUUCCUAGGAAAAAACAGUCACCAUUUUGCACCUAAUAUUCCUCUUGCCAGCUACUAAAACAUUCUUGCAGACAACUUCACAGUGCUUUAGUGCAAUUACGUGCAGUAUAAAGACCCCUCAAACUCAUGUGAGGGCAUCAAAAUCUCAACUUCACACCCAGCCAUAUUACAAAACAAGCACAUAUAUAUGUACACAAAAGAGACCAGCAACUACAUCAGGAAAUAUGCUAUUUCAAUGUGCCUUUGAUAGUAGUUUAUCGAUGUCUGAUAUGGAUGUUGAGAGAAGGCCAUACCAUCGCAAUUGCAGCUGCGCGCUGCACAAGAAAAACGAUGCACACACUACUGCAUGUUUUCAACACAGGAAAGUUGCAUUUCCUAAGAUACAGUCAUUGACUGACUGCUCCAUAUCUGUGACAGCUUCCAGAAGAUCGAUACAAUCUUCACAUAUCUGUUUUCAUCAGGUAAAAUAAAGAAAAAGAUGUUCUUAUGUUUAUAAGAAACAAAGGAACAGACAGAAUGAUGUUUAGUAGGUGACCAAAAUUCAUAAAUUUUCAUAGAAUUAGAGAGUACUGUGUAAAUUUAUUUGUGAACACAGUACUCAUCAAAUUCCUGUAUGUAAUCUCAACGAUAAGAAAGCGCUAGGCUGAUAAUAUCUCAUUCAUGUACAAUUUAGGGAACUCAAUUUUGGGUCCAGUCACAUUGUUAUACACACAGCUGAUUUGGAAAUUUUCCAAAGCUAUACUUUGUUUCUUAAUGAGCACUGGAAAUUCGAUGAACUAAAAGACAGUGGUAAGUUCAUGUCAUUGUAUGGUACAUGCCCUCCCUCGGCAUGACAAGUCCAAGUUCAAAAUUAAUUCAUAUUGACCCGAAAUUAAAUUUUAGACUAUUUGAAUAUUUCUGCGCUCAAGUGAAUAGUGCAGUUUUGGAAGUCAAUACAUCUGGUAUAGGAUAUAAAACGUGUUUCGACAAAAUAUGCGAUCAAGCAUUAUUGCAUAAAAUGCAGAAGAAAAUUGGUCUUUAAUCUUUAAACACCUGAUAAGAAACAUAGAACACAGCUAAAAUAUUGUAGGCAGGACCAUGAGGAAGUAGGCCAGUCUUCUUGUUGUCUUGCACCACAGGUCCGAUAUAGUUAACUUGUUCCAUAUGCCCCAGUUAAAAAUGUUAUUUUUAAAGUAAAUAAAAGUUCUUUAUAGACUGAAAAAUGAGGUUAAUCCAUAUUGCAGCUCAAACUAAGGCAAACCUGAUUAUUGAUUAUAGUUAACAGAAGAAGAAAAUUUAUAAUGUACCUUAUGAAGAGUGGAUUGGCACAGGCAUAAACCAUGAAGAAGGUUGCAGCCUUGCAGAUUUUCGUACUCUGAUCAAUGUAAAGCAAAUUAAACAGUGUAUUAUGAUAAAAAAGUGUUAGGAAAUCAUGAUCUCUGGCUCAAAUUUUAGCAGAAGUUUGGAAAAGCUAUGUGAAUGUUUGAAUUUUCAUGAAUUUUUAAACACGAUAAACAGUUGAUCAAAUAGAAGCUACAAGUACGACUCAUAAAAUUAUAUAUAUUCACUUGAUAACAUAUUUACAUACAUGAACCCAUAUUACAAGUAUAAUGCAGGGAAGCAAAAAAUAUAUUAUUCACAGCCAUUCUAGCAUUUAGGAAACACCCAGUGGAAAAGUUGGUAUUAAGAAUAACUAUAACGCUUACCUAAUAUUAACUAAGCAAAUAAACCAAAUCAAACUAAGCAUAUCUGGUAUAUAUAUCUUCAUGUAAUAGGAUGUGAGAUGUAUACAUACCUUACCUCCAAUUCUAAUAUUAUAGAAAAUAUUUUAGUGAAGACCCACUCAUAAUAUUACAAAGACAAAGAAGUUCAUGAAAAUUAUUGAAAUAGCAGAAUUUUUGAAACUUGUUAAAAUUUCUCUUUUGUUCUAAAAUAAAUAUCUAAAACGAACAAGAAGAAAACAUGAUACGUUGUUAAGCAAUAACAGUUUCUUGUCAUUUUGUUUGUACUGGAGGAGAAAAAUUUGUUAGACAUUGAAAAUAUAAUACAACAGACAAAACAUAUCACUUUCAAGAUCACAAACAGACAGGUUUAUAUUGUAGGACAACGGUUUAUGUCCAUAUAUGAGUAGUUGAAUCUUCUUCUAUGAACACUAAGAAUGUUAGGCUCACUGUUCAAAUCAUUGGAAUAGUAGUCACUCUAAGCAUGAACUUUAACUUGAAAGAAACAUAUUUCAAGCAUGUGAAUAAAUACUAACUUGAACCUAGGUAUGUCAACUCUAUACUUAGUACAACAUCACAAAGUACCUUGGUCCAAACGUAAGAUAACUAACUAAAAGAAUCUUCCUCCUAGAAUAAUUCACACUCCAGUCAUUUAUUCCAGCUCAACAAUCUUUACUUACAAUAUAAGAAGCCUUCACAGGCAUGCAAAAUUUCAGAGCUAUUUAGUUUCAGUAUACUCUCAACCCCACAAACACGUUAACUGUUAGGGAAAGUAUAGAUUAAGAAACUGAUGGAUGCAGCAUCAUUUCAUAUGAUGAACCAAUAUGUCUAUGACAGUAGUUUAUCAAUGUCUGACACAGAAAUAGAGAGAAGGCCGUACCAUCGCAAUUGCGGGUGUGCAUUGCACAAAUCAAAAGGUGCACAUGCAGUUUGUUUUCAACAUGGGAAUGUUUCAUUUCAAAAGAAAAAGUCAUGGAGUGGCUGCUCAGUAUCAGUAAAUUGUUCCAGAAGCUCUACAUGUUCUUCCUUUAUCUGCGCUUUUUCAGGUAGGAAUACAGCAGAAGAAAUUUAACAGUCAAAUAAAGAAGAGAAAUUAUAGUGUAGGUAGCAAGCAGUAGUUUUUAACAGAAAAAGAAUUGAAUAUAGUGCUGAUGCUCCUAUAUAUAUAUUGAAUAGUCAUGUAAGGAGCAAGCAUAGUUCUUUUCUUAACUUCCAUCUCCUCUGUUUAGGCUAAUUUAUAGAGUUCUUUUGCAGAUUGUGUUUGAGAUAUGAUGUAUAACUAGUACCAAAUUAAGAGAUGAAUUAGAUCUUGAAACUAUUCUGCCGUAAGAGUUUUUAAAAUUACAUGUAUGUCAUCAACUCGAAAUUGUAAUUACUAAUUAGUAACUUCGAAUACAAUGCAGAUAGACUUAUAAAGCAAAAGGUCAAGUAAACUAAGAUAACAGGAUUCUUUGGUACAUAUGGCGCAUAUUAAUAAACUUUCUUCCAAAUAAGAGUAGGUGUGAAAUAAAAAGUGAAUUCUAAAAAGGAGCCGGGUAAAAGAAAUUACAAGUGCAUGAAUUAGAAAAUCUAGAAUUUUGUUUUACCAUUCCAGGUUCCAUGCUUUAUAAGAAUUGGGAUGUAUACGAGUAAUAUUGGUUCUAUAAUUUGUGUAUACUUGUACAGUUAUCAGUGCAACAUUGAGGUCUCUAAAUUCUGAACCUAUUCUGUAGACCAAUGGACAGUUAAAUAAGAAGCUGAGAAUUAUUAUUUUUAACUGUGAGUAAACACAUGUUUACAAUCUUUGUAAUCAACCACUACAAAAAUAUAUAGCAUGAAGUCAUGAACGUUAAUAUUGAUCCAAGGAAAGUAACUUAUCUUUCCACAUCAACAAUGCAAAGUAGACCUUGGAAUAUACCUAAGAGAAAGUUCCAUAUUGUAUUUAUAUUAUUAGCAUACACAACAUUAUCACUUGAUACUAAGCUGAAACAGUGAAUAGUUAAAAGCAGACGAUAAGGAGAGUACAAUAUUUAAACAGUUUUUCAAGCAGGAAAUGCAAACCAUUGCAAAUGAUGUAAGAAGCAUGAAAUUACAGUCGAAACCAAUUCAAUGAGUAAAAAGGAACUUCGCGAGUUACUACACUGCAGACAAAAUAUAACAUCAGUAUUAGAGCAUAGUGCUAAUGCACUUUUAAAGUCAAUUUCGAGUACCUGAAUGAAUUUACUGCAAAAUAAUAAUAAUAAUAAUAAUAAUAAUAAUAAUAAUAAUAAUAAUAAUAAUAAUAAUAAUAAUAAUAAUAAUAAUAAUAAUAAAACCAAAUAGAGCUUAAUAUGCGGAAGAACUGAGAGGACCUAAUCAAGAUAGGUGAUUGAGAGGUAUAGAGCUAGCUUCUUCAUUAUGGAGAAUCCAUUCUCAGGGUUUUCACAAUAAUUAAAAGUAAACUGAUAGCUCUUUUUCUUCAGUCUAAUGAGAAAUAUCACAUAUUCAAUGUUGUGUACAAAAAAGCCAACCCAUUAAAAAAACCAGGAAUCCAAUACAUCAGUGUUACCAAAAAAGGGACUCCUCGUUAACUAAAAUGAAAACAGGUUGUCAUUUUUGGAUUAUACUGUAUAUUCAUAUGAAAUAUAUUCCCUAGGAGUAAUCAACAUUCCAAGCAUGAUAAUAGAAUUUGAGAUGACUUGAAGAAUAGGCACAAAUUUUUGAAAAUAUCUUCAUUGCAAACUAGCGAAAGGCAAACCUGAUUCUCAGAGCAGACUAUUACAUAUUCUUGUCAAUUAAGUAGGAAGUGCUUAAUACUUUGUUGACUGUUGUUAUAUUGCUUUGCAAACCCAACAGUUCCAAAAAGGUAAAGCAAGAUUACGUAAGAAGACGUCGAUGACAUUUUAAACAAUUUCAACCAGUGAAAAAAUGCAUGUGUGAUAAAGCAUUCCUUUAUGCUUUUCACUUUUAAGAGAAUAUUGCAUACUUACAAAAAUCAUAUAUAAUAUGGAAUAUGCAUCCAAGAUUGUAUAGACAUUCCCACCCGUCUCUCAUACAUAACCAUGAAUCCAAAACGAGAUAUUUAGGUAACUUGCAGAGGACAGUUUGUUUUUUAGUGCAACUUUAUAGUUAACCACUAAACUAUCAAUUUGAUUACUUAGGAGAUGUCACUACUCGAACGCUUAGUAAUACAGUUAAAGAUGCCUAGAAGAAAAGUUUUGAGUUCGAACAUAGCACCAAAUGGAUUCCAUGGAGCAUAAUACGACUAAAAGACAACACUUUCUAGGAAGAAACGGUUACCACUCUGCACCAAGCAUUUCCCUUGCUAACUAACAGUUUCUCCUAGAUUCCACAGUCUUCUAGUCUAUUUACGCGCACUAUAUAAACCCUUCAAAAUCCAUGUGAAGGCAUCUGCAUAUUCAACUUCAUACUCAACCAUAUAACAGAAACAAGCACAAAAGAUUUUAUAGAAAAAAUUAAGGCAAUGGAUGCUGCAGCAAGUCAUAUGAUGCUUCAAUGUGCCUUUGAUAGUUGUUUAUCAAUGUCCGAUAUCGAGAUUGAGAGAAGACCAUACCAUCGCAACUGCAGCUGCGCGCUGCACAAGCUAAAAGAUGCACGCCCUACUGCAUGUUUUCAGCAUGGGAAUGCCGCAUUUCCUAAGAAACAAUCAUGGAGUGAUUGUUCCAUAUCCACAACCACUCCCAAAAGCUCAUCACAAUCUCUGUUUGUCUCUAACUUGGCAGGUAAAACCAAAGAAAAAGAUGGCCUUUUAAUUAUUAGAAACAAAGGAAUGUAUGGAAAUUUGCCAAGUAGAUGACACGAAUGCAUAAAUUUUAAUUUUUUAUAGAAUUAGAGUACUCUUGUAAAUUUACUUCUCCACACAGUACUCAAACUCCUGUAUGAAAUUAUGAGAGACUUAUCAAGGAAAAAAGAGUAGAAAAAGCACUACAAUUUCAUUACGAUUUAUUCUUGUACAAUUCGGUCACAUACAGGACGCAUAAAGAAAAUCUCUUUACUUGUUCUUGUCAUCUUCAUGACUCACGCAUGCAUAGCUUCAUGAUCUAAGCUAUAAAUUGUCCCUUGUAUGAUAACUAAAUAUGGAAACAACAUUGAACAAAAUAUAGUACCAAGUUCAUGUCAUUCUACAUUACAAAACCUUCUCUUUGGUAUUACAAAUUCAAGAAGAAAUGCUCACUGACCCUACAAAAAGAACAAUGUCAGGUGGUAAAGUCAAUUGUGCAAUUCAGGAAAUUAAGAUAAUUAGGUAAAAAAUGUAAAUGUUCUUGUAUAAAGCAAUAAAAAAUGUGCUUAUGCGUCAGGACACAACAUGCAGAAGAAAACGGUUUUUUCCUCAAUAAAACAAAACACGAUAUGAAGCAAAACGAACACGAUAACUAAAACAUUGCAGGAAAGCUAAAAUAAUCAAUUUUGUAUAUCAUCUAAUUCAGAUGAGUACGUACUUAGUGCCCUCAAAACCUACAUUUACAUAUACCAUUAUCUUUAAUUUUGUUUACCAUCUUACAAGGUUGUACAUAAAUAAUGAAAAUAGUGUAUCAUAUUACCAUAUAAUAUCAAAAUGAGAAGAAUCGCAUGUUCUUUUAUAGAUGUUAAAUGUAACUGCUUAAUGUAUAAUUUAUUUUUAUACAUAAAAUCUGAUUCAACUUCUAAAGAUGCUGAAUGAGAGAGUGAGUAUAUUCUACAAUAAUCUGUUUUCCAAAUAUCCUAUCAUGAAUGUUUAACAAUGUACAGCCAAUGCACUGGAAGCAAUAAGAAAGACACAUAAAACCAUAUUAUUCACGUUAGUGCAUAUAUGAUACAGAAAUAUAUGUGCAGGAAAGCCAAAACAAGAGAAUAUAUUCAGUCAGUCUAGUCUUUGUAGGAAAUAUAGAAAAUUAAAUUGUAACUCCAAGUGUAGAACUUAGAAAUUUGAAAUCUAUACUGUGUAAUCUAUUUCAACCAGCACUUCCAUUAUUUAAACCAGUGCUUGCUUUUUACCAAUAGUUUAACAACCAAGUGUAAAAGUUGCAGAGCCAUUAUAACUCCAAAAUUCAGUUGCGAUAAUAGAUGCUCAGUUGGAUUAAGUGACGGUUAUUUACAUAGAAAACAUGGUACAUUAUAUCAUAAUUAUACAAUACAUACUUGUAUAUCCUUCCGUAAAAAGUGUCUGAGUGUGUGCAUAAACCAUAUUAAUGAAACAGUUCCUGUCACUUUCCUUGUGCUGGACCAAGAAAUUUGUUAGACAACGGAUACAUAAUAAUUAAUAUAGACAAAACAUUUCAUUUUCAGCAAUACAAACAAACAAGCUUACUAAGGUCAUAAGACAGAUCGCAUGCAUGAAAUCAAGGAAUAAGUUAGCCUAAUCAAGCUUAAUAUUAACUUAGGAAUAUCAACCACUAAUACGACAGCACAAGAUACAUUGGUCCAAAAAUAGGAUAACUAACUGAUGCAAAACAUUUUUCUCCUAGAUUAAUUCACACUUUAGACAAUCAUUACCGACACCAUACAAUGAAAUGCGUUAAGACAUUCAUUAUAUAAUACAGAAGACAGUACAUUUCACUUUCAACAUCACAAACAAAAUCGAAGGACAGCAGUUUAUGCCUACAUGUGACAAAAAGUUUAUAGCGAAGAACAACAGUUUAUGUCUACAUGUGAGCAAUGAGAUCUUCGCUAGAUACCAAAAUCAUUGGACUAUUAGUCACCCUAAGCAUAACACUAAGGUAAUAAAGCAUACCGUUAUUGCUUUUUACAAUAACUAAGAGCAUAUUGUGUGAUUUAAACUUACAUGUCACAGAUUCAAUGUUGUACAUACAUACCCACCAACCCAUCUACCUCAUACAUAACCAAUAAUCCAAAACAAUAAUGAUUCCUAGAAGAAAUACUUUGUUUACUUGCAUUAGAAAAAUGUCAUCUAAUGCAAUUUAUUACCAUCAGAAAAGUCAAUACUCAAAAGCUUGAAAAUAAAGUUGGAGAUACCUAGAACAGAGUUUGUUAUUUCAAAAGUAUUACUAAACGGAAUCCUUGGUUACUACUACUAGAAGACAACACUUCAUAGGGAAAAACGGUUACCAAUUUGCACCAAACAUUCCCCUCACCAACUAACACAUUCUCAUAGACAACUUCACAAACCUCUAAGCCUCCAGAUUACAUGCAGUAUAUAUACCCUCCAAAAACCAUGUGAUGGCAUCAACAUAUUUCACUUAUAAUCAACCAGAUUACAGAAACAAGCACAUACAAAUUUAAAGAAAAAGAAACCAGCACAAUAAUGGAUGCAGUAUCAGGUCACAUGUUACCUCAGUAUGUCUUUGACAGUAGUUUAUCAAUGUCCGAUAUGGAUAUUGAGAGAAGGCCGUACCAUCGCAACUGCAGCUGCGCGCUGCACAAGCCAAAAGAUGCACGUCCUAAAGCAUGUUUUCAACACGGGAAUGUUGCUUUUUCUAAGAUACAGUCAUGGAUUGAUUGUUCCAUGUCUGUAGCUGCUACAAAGAGCUCGUCACAAUCCCUAUUUAACAGUGACUUGUCAGGCAAAAACAGAGACAAAGAUGGACUUUUGUUACUUAGAAACAAAGGAAUACAUGGGAUUUCAUCAGGUAGAUGAAAAAACCUCUUCAAUUUUAAUUUUCAUAGAAUUAGAGAGUACUUUUGUAAAUUAAUUUAUCAACACAGUACUCGAACUCCUGUACAGAUUUCUAUGAUAUAGAAAUAGCACUAGUUUCCACUAUUAAUAAUUCAUGUACAUUCUGGUGCCAUUGCGUUUAAUUUUCUGUCACAUUAUUACAGACACAACUUGUUUGAAAAUUUCACCACCCGUUCCUUGUUAACCUCAAGAUGCAUUGAUUCAUCGUUUCAUAAUCCUCUGCUUUAGUUUUUUCUCGAAAUGAUAGUGAAGCACUACAACUGCCUAAAACAGAGCAGUAAGUUUAUGUCAUUGUACAGUACUCUUCAGCAUUGAAAAUCCAGGUUCAGAAGCAGAUAUUCUUCUAGAUCCUACUUUGAAUAAAAUAGCUUCAGGAAUUAUGUUGUCAUAGUACAACUAGGAAACGAGCACAUCAACGUUUUUAGGAAUGUGACUAUACAACUUGGUAAAUGAAGUAUUUGUGUGUUAGUACACAACAUGCAGGACUUCUUUUCAUCUUUCAGAAACGAUAAGAAUCAGAGAGACUACAUUAAAGAAAUGUAGUUACUGCAGAUCUUCAGUUUUGUCCCCUACCCUAGGCCACUUAAAUAUCACUGGAAUAUUUCUUAUAAUUCCCCCCUUCCCAGAAAAAAAAUAGUAAACUCAUGCUGCAGCUCAACACAAAACAAACUAUUCAUGGUUAUUAUUAUACAGCAAAUUUGCAAAUCUAAUACAUCUACUUGAGCAAGGAAAAGUUGUUUACAUAAGAUGGUAAAGAAAAUGUUUACUCACAAUGCAGAAUAUAUAUAAAUUAACAAUCAGUACCUGAUAAGAAACAGAAAAGACAACUAAAUACAUGUUGGCAAGGCUAGAGGGUAUAUGCCAAGUCUUCUUUCUUGUCUUCUACCAGAUCACUAACAUAUCAGUCAAUCCAUAUGCCACAUUUUCAAAUUUUAAUUUCACAGCAUGCAAAUUUGUAACAAAAAAAAAAAAAGACGGAUAUCACUAUUUUAAUUCACACUGAAGCUCAAUAGUCAAACCAAAGCAAACCUGAUAUUCAUUCUGAAUAGAAGAAAUCAGAUUAGGUACAUUAUGAAGACUGAUUGUUUCCAGAAUCAACUAUGAAGGCUGAAAGAUUCAAAAACUUACAGACGAAUGAUAUGAGUAGAGUAUCUAGCAAAGCAAUAAAACUGUAAAUUUAAAACAUACUGUUACAGAUUAACAUCAAUACAGUCUGUGGAUGGCAUUUUGUUUAACCCUUAUCAGUUGACGGUACAUACAAAGAGUAAGAAGUCAACAAGUGAUUGCUAUGGAGAAACGACUUAAGAUGUACUUCAAGAAGGAACUGAAAAACACUGAAGAUUAUGUAAGACUUCAAUGACAUAAUAAACCAUUUUAACUAGUAAAGAAUGAUUUUGUGACUCCCACACUACCAGGACAUUACAACUAAACUAGUAUAGCAUACCGUUAUUGGUUUUCAUAACUAUUAACUAACACCAUAUGUGUACAUACAAAACAUAUAAUACAAAUUGCUGUAUAGACAUACCCACCAGUCUCAUACAUAACCAUGAAUCCAAAACAAUAGAAAUUCUCAAAGGAGAUAAUUUGUUCACUUACACAUAACAGUUUAUGUCUUUUAGUGCAACUUUUUGUCUUACUACUAAGCUAUGAGACUCCUUUGGAGAUGUCACCAGUGGGACAUUUGAAAAUAAAGUUGGAGAUGCCUAGAAGAGGAAGUUGUUAUUUCAAACAUAGUACACAAACAAUUUCAUGGAACAUUUUACUACUAAAAGACAACAAAUUCUAGGAAGAAACGGUUACCACUUUGCACCAAACAAUUCCCUUGCUAACCAACACUUUCUCCUAGACAACAUAGUCCUCUAAUAAAUUUACGUGCAGUAUAUAAACCCCUCGAAAAUCCAUGUGAUGGCAUCAACAUAAUAACCUUUAUUCUCACUUCUCAAGUCUCAACCAUAUUACAGAAACAAGAACAAACUUUAACAAAAAGGAAAAAAGACAGCAGCAAGGCAAUGGAUGCAGCAGCAAGUCACAUGAUGCUUCAUUGUGCCUUUGAUAGUUGUUUAUCAAUGUCUGAUAUGGAGAUUGAGAGAAGGCCAUACCAUCGCAACUGCAGCUGCGCGCUGCACAAGCCAAAAGAUUCACGUCCAGCUGCAUGUUUUCGACAUGGGAAUGUUGCAUUUUCUAAGAAAGGGUCAUGGAGUGAUUGCUCCAUAACUCUAAGCUCCCCCAAAAUCUCGUCGCAGUCCCUCUUUUUGUCCGUUCAUCUUCAGGUAACAACAAAUAAAAACAUAAACCUUUGUUCGUAGAAACAAUGGAAAUUAUGAAAAUUUGUUUAGAAAAAGUUGGUAUUUUAGCUUAGUAGAACUAGAGGAGUACUCUUGUAAAUUCAAGCCUUAACAUAGUACUCAAACGCCUGUAAUGAAAUUUUUGGACAAAGAAAGCACUAGAAUUGAUCACUAUUGCUGUGUACUAAUCAUUCUGGGGUUCAACUGGUUGCAAAUUUUAUUGGGUUCCAGACACAUUGUUAUCGGCAGGCCUUUCAGAAAAUUUCAUUAUUAGUAUAUCAGCGGAAAAUAUAUUGUUAAAUAAUCACAUCAACUACAUAAGUUAGUGCUCAAGAAAGUAGUUAAGUAGGCAUGCUUCAUUUAGAACUACUUUAACACUUCACAUCAAUGAUUUUUUUAAUAGUAGUGGGGACUACAAGGAAAUAGGUUAGUUUUCUUUUUUGUCCCCUAUCCCUGCAACUCAAAUAUCAGUUAUGUCAUAUACCAUUUUCAUCAUACGUGAGUUUGCUCUGUAUUAAAAAACUACAAAAGGAGAUUACUAUGCAUUGAAUAUGUUGGGGAACAAAAAAGAGAAAACUACUAUUUUAUUAACAAAUCAACUAAGCUGUGUAACAGUGACACGAGUAUGAACUGAGAAUUGUAUUUCCAUAUUUUGAUUAAAUUAUAUUUCUGGCAUAAUGAGUCCAAAUCAAUCAGACUUCCAAAGAAAAGAUUCUGUCGCUUAUAUAGAAGUAAUUUUUCUAGUGUGGUUUGUUAGUUACAGUAUAAAUAUGAACAUUUUCCUAGGGAUCGUCACUGCUCUAAGCAUGAUGAUGAAGUAAAGUUUCCUAGAAAAUUGAGUCACAUGUUUGGAGCAUCUUACCAAGAUGAACUCCUUGGAUCACAAUACCUAAAAGACGCCAAUUACAGGGAGAAACACCUACCAGUUUGCUCCAAACAUCUCUCAUGUCAACUAAACAGUAUCUCCUAUACUACUUUUACACAUCUCCGGUGUAAUCACAUGCACUAAAUAAGCCUUGCAAAGCAUCCACAGGCUUCAACAUAUAAUUUUGCUAAUAUACAGGACCAAAUUAAAACAACACAACCACAGAAUGAUUUCCGCACAAAGCUAAAUGUGUAAGCCCUGCGACCUCCUUUCAACAAGGAAACAUUGCAUUUGCUAACCUAAAUUAAUUCAUACGUACCCCAUGCAUCUUAUCACGCCCUUCAGCUACCUAUGGCUUUUCAGAAAUAAGGGAAAUUCAGCAGUGUUGUUUCAUAGAAUCGGAGUGCUUGUGCAUUAUUGUUUUUCAACACAUGCCACUCGUACUCCUUUGCGCACCUUUCAUAAAAAAAAAAAAAAGAGCACUAAUCCCGUUCAUUGUUUAUUUGUUUUUAAAUUGAUGAGCUUACAUAUCCAUACACAUAACAAAAUUUAUAAUGACAAUAUGCAGACAAAAUAACAUCAUGGCAUAAAAUUAUUGGUUUACACUAAAAAAGUAAAUUGUUAGCUUAUAUUGUGCUUCUGAACUAAAGUGAAGGAACAAAUUUAACAUAGUAUAGAUAACCCACCCAUUUCACAAAACAAUGGAUCCCAAAGAAAAGUGAAUUUUGCAAGGAGCAGAUUCUUUUGGAGAAAACCAUGAACAUAAAACUACACUUCACAAGUGCAAGAAAAGCAUAACAACCCCUAACCAUAUUAGUUUCCUGUCAUUUUCCUUGUGCUGGAUGAAGAAAUUUGUUAGACAACGGAUACAUGAUACAGAGAAAACAUUUCAUUUUCAGCAAUACAAACAAACAAACUUACUAAGGUAAUAAAACAGAUCACCAACAUGAAAAUCAAAAAAUAAGUUAGACUAGUAGAGCUUGAUAUUUACUUAGGAAUAUCAACCACUAAUACGACAGCACAAUAUACAUUGGUCCAAAAAUAGGAUAACUAACUGAUGCAAAACAUUUUUCUCCUAGAUAAAUUCACACUUUAGACAAUCAUUACCGACACCAUACAAUGAAAUCCGUUAAGACAUUGUUUAUAUAAUACAGAAGACAGAACAUUUCACUUUCAACAUCACAAACAAAAUCAUAGGACAGCAGUUUAUGCCUACAUGUGACAAAGAGUUUAUAGCGAAGGACAACAGUUUAUGUCUACAUGUGAGCAAAGAGAUCUUCUCUAGAUACCAAAAUCAUUGGACUAUUAGUCACCCUAAGCAUAACACUAAGGUAAUAAAGCAUACCGUUAUUGCUUUUUACAAUAACUAAGAGCAUAUUGUGUGAUUUAAACUUACAUGUCACAGAUUCAAUGUUGUACAUACAUACCCACCAACCCAUCUACCUCAUACAUAACCAAUAAUCCAAAACAAUAAUGAUUCCUAGAAGAAAUACUUUGUUUACUCGCAUUAGAAAAAUGUCAUCUAAUGCAAUUUAUUACCAUCAGAAAAGUCAAUACUCUAUUGCUUCAUUAUUGGCUAGAUUGAAGUUGUAAACAACUUGUAGCUUCAUUCUAGACUCGUGGGAAGUGGAAAACAAAUUGUAGCUUCAUUUUUGGUUGCUUAAAAUUAGAAUCAACUUGUAGUUUCAUUCUUGACUCGUUUGAGCCCGGAAACAACUUGUUGCUUCAUUAUUGGCUGGAUUGAAGUUGGAAACAACAUGUAGCUUCAUUCCAGACUCGUUUGAAGUUGAAAACAACUUGUAGCUUCAUUUUCAGUUGUUUAAAAUUAGAAUCAACUUGUAGUUUCAUUCUUGACUCGUUUGAGCCUGUAAACAACUUGUUGCUUCAUUAUUGGCUAGAUUGAAGUUGGAAACAACUUGUAGCUUCAUUCCAGACUCGUUUGAAGUUGAAAANCAGUUUAUCAAUGUCCGAUAUGGAUAUUGAGAGAAGGCCGUACCAUCGCAACUGCAGCUGCGCGCUGCACAAGCCAAAAGAUGCACGUCCUAAAGCAUGUUUUCAACACGGGAAUGUUGCUUUUUCUAAGAUACAGUCAUGGAUUGAUUGUUCCAUGUCUGUAGCUGCUACAAAGAGCUCGUCACAAUCCCUAUUUAACAGUGACUUGUCAGGUAAAAACAGAGACAAAGAUGGACUUUUGUUACUUAGAAACAAAGGAAUACAUGGAAUUUCAUCAGGUAGAUGAUAAAAUCUCNCAAAACCAUGUGAUGGCAUCAACAUAUUUCACUUAUAAUCAACCAGAUUACAGAAACAAGCACAUACAAAUUUAAAGAAAAAGAAACCAGCAAGAUAAUGGAUGCAGUAUCAGGUCACAUGUUACCUCAGUAUGUCUUUGACAGUAGUUUAUCAUUGUCCGAUAUGGAUAUUGAGAGAAGGCCGUACCAUCGCAACUGCAGCUGCGCUCUGCACAAGCCAAAAGAUGCACGUCCUAGAGCAUGUUUUCAACACGGGAAUGUUGCUUUUUCUAAGAUACAGUCAUGGAUUGAUUGUUCCAUGUCUGUAGCUGCUACAAAGAGCUCGUCACAAUCCCUAUUUAACAGUGACUUGUCAGGUAAAAACAGAGACAAAGAUGGACUUUUGUUACUUAGAAACAAAGGAAUACAUGGAAUUUCAUCAGGUAGAUGAUAAAAUCUCUUCAAUUUUAAUUUUCAUAGAAUUAGAGAGUACUUUUGUAAAUUAGUUGAUCAACACAGUACUCGAACUCCUGUACGGAUUUCUAUGAUAUAGAAAUAGCACUAGUUUCCACUAUUAAUAAGUCAUGUACAUUCUGGUGCCAUUGCUUUUGGUUUUCUGUCACAUUAUUACAGACACAACUUGUUUGAAAAUUUCGCCACCCGUUCCUUGUUAACCUUGAUUCACCGUUUCAAAAUCCUAUGCUUUAGUUUGUUCUCUAAAUGAUAGUGAAGCACUACAACCACCUAAAACAGAGCAGUAAGUUUAUGUCAUCGUACAGUACUCUUCAGCAUUGAAAAUCCAGGUUCAGAAGCAGAUAUUCCUCUAGAUCCUACUUUAAAUAAAAUAGCUUCAGGAAUUAUGUUGUCAUAGGACAAUUAGGAAACGAGCGCAUCAACGUUUUUAGGAAUGUGACUAUACAACUUGGUAAAUGAUGUGGCUGUGUGUUAGUACACAACAUGCAGGACUUCUUUUUCAUCUUUCAGCAAUGAAAAGAAUCAGAGAAACUACAUUAAAGAAAUGUAGUUACUGCAAAUCUUCAGUUUUGUCCCCUACCCUAGGCCACUUAAAUAUCACUGGAAUAUUUCAUAUAAUGCCCCCCUUCCCGGAAAAAAAUAGUAAGCUCAUGCUGCAGCUCAACACAGAACAAACCAACUAUUCAUGGUUAGUAUUAUACAGCAAAUUUGCAAAUCUAAUACAUCUACUUGAGCAGGGAAAAGUUGUUUACAUAAGAUGGUCAAGAAAACGUUUACUCGCAAUGCACAAUAUAUAUAUAUAUAUAUAUAUAUAUAUAUAUAUAUAUAGGGUCGCGCUCAAAAGAGAACCAGUCCUUAAAAUAGAACCAUAGAACCACUAAGGUUCUGCUGCAGAACCCUAAAUUUUAAAUAGAUGGUUAGGAUCUAAAUCUAAAUACAUGUUUUUUUCAUGUGUUUUUAUCGUUGUGUGUGUUCAAAAAUAAUUUUAAAAUAUGAUACAUUGAUAUUGACAUUUUUUGUAUGUGAAGCUCUGCUGCAGAACCCUAACUAAUAUUUAAGUUCUGCUGCAGAACCCUACCUAAUACUAGAAAUAAGUAAGAGUUCUAUGGUUCUCUCUCUAAUGGUUCUCUCUUGAACAUGACCCUAUAUAUAUAUAUAUAUAUAUAUAUAUAUAUAUAUAAAAUUAACAAUCAGUACCUAAUAAGAAACAGAAAAGAUAACAAAAUACAUGUUAUUGUUGGCAAGGCUAGAAGGUAUAUGCCAAGUCUUCUUUCUUGUCUUCUACCAGGUCACUAACAUAUCAGUCAAUCCAUAUGCCACAUUUUUAAAUUUUGAUUUCACUGCGUGCAAAUAUGUAACAAAAAAAGACGGAUAUCACUAUUUUAAUUCACACUGCAGCUCAAUAGUCAAACCAAAGCAAACCUGUGAUAUUCAGUUCUAAAUAGAAGAAAUCAGAUUAGGUACAUUACGAAGACUGAUUGUUUCCAGAAUCAACUAUGAAGGCUGAAAGAUUCAAAAACUUACAGACAAAUUAUAAGAGUAGAGUAUCUAGCAAAGCAAUAAAACUGUAAAUUUAAAACAUACUGUUGCAGAUUAACAUCAAUACAGUCUGUGGAUGGCAUUUUGUUUAACCCGUAUCAGUUGACAGUACAUACAAAGAGUAAGAAGUCAACAAGUGAUUGCAAUGGAGAAACGACUUAAGACGUAGAAACCAUUUUGACUAGUAAAGAAUGAUUUUGUGACUCCCACACUAGCAGGACAUUACAACUAAACUAGCAUAGCAUACCGUUAUUGGUUUUCAUAACUAUUAACCAACAGCAUAUGUGUACAUACAAAACAUAUAAUACAGAUUGCUGUAUAGACAUACCCACCAAUCUCAUACAUAACCAAGAAUCCAAAACAAUAGAAAUUCUCAAAGGAGAUAAUUUGUUCACUUACACAUAACAGUUUAUGUCUUUAAGUGCAAAUUUUUGUCUUACUACUAAACUAUGAGAUUCCUUUGGAGAUGUCACCAGUGGGACAUUUGAAAAUAAAGUUGGAGAUGCCUAGAAGAGGAAGUUGUUAUUUCAAACAUAGCACACAAACAAUUUCAUGGAACAUUUUCCUACUAAAAGACAACAAAUUCUAGGAAGAAACGGUUACCACUUUGCACCAAACAAUUCCCUUGCUAACCAAGACUUUCUCCUAGACAACAUAGUCCUAUAAUAAAUUUACGUGCAGUAUAUAAACCCCUCGAAAAUCCAUGUGAUGGCAUCAACAUAAUAACCUUUAUUCUCACUUCUCAAGUCUCAACCAUAUUACAGAAACAAGAACAAACUUUAACAAAAAGGAAAAAAGACAGCAGCAAGGCAAUGGAUGCAGCAGCAAGUCACAUGAUGCUUCAUUGUGCCUUUGAUAGUUGUUUAUCAAUGUCUGAUAUGGAGAUUGAGAGAAGGCCAUACCAUCGCAACUGCAGCUGCGCGCUGCACAAGCCAAAAGAUUCACGUCCAGCUGCAUGUUUUCGACAUGGGAAUGUUGCAUUUUCUAAGAAAGGGUCAUGGAGUGAUUGCUCCAUAACUCUAAGCUCCCCCAAAAUCUCGUCGCAGUCCCUCUUUUUGUCCGUUCAUCUUCAGGUAACAACAAAUAAAAACAUAAACCUUUGUUCGUAGAAACAAUGGAAAUUAUGAAGAUUUGUUUAGAAAAAGUUGGUAUUUUAGCUUAGUAGAACUAGAGGAGUACUCUUGUAAAUAUAUGCCUUGACAUAGUACUAAAACGCCUGUAAUGAAAUUUUUGGACAAAGAAAGCACUAGAAUUGAUCACUAUUGCUGUGUACUAAUCAUUCUGGGGUCCAACUGGUUGCAAAUGUUAUUGGGUCCCAGACACAUUGUUAUCGGCAGGCCUCUCAGAAAAUUUCAUUAUUAGUAUAUCAGCGGAAAAUAUAUUGUUAAAUAAUGUUAAAUAAUCACAUCAACAACAAAAGUUAGAGCUCAAGAAAGUAGUUAAGUAGGCAUGCUUCGUUUAGAACUACUUUAACAGUUCACAUCAAUGAUUUUUUCAAUAGUAGUGGGGACUACAAGGAAAUAGGUUAGUUUUCUUUUUUGUCCCCUAUCCCUGCAACUCAAAUAUCAGUUAUGCCAAAUACCAUUUUCAUCAUACGUGAGUUUGCUCUGUAUUAAAAAAUUACAGAAGGAGAUUACUAUGCAUUGAAUAUGUUGAGGGACAAAAAAAAGAGAAAACUACUAUUUUAUUAACAAAUCAACUAAGCUGUGUAACAGUGACACGAGUAUAAACUGAGAAUUGUAUUUCCCUAUUUUGAUUAAAUUAAAUUUCUGGAAUAAUGAGUCCAAAUCAAUCAGACUUCCAAAGAAAAGAUUCUGUCGCUUUUAUAAAAGUAAUUUUUCUAGUGCAGUUUGUUAGGUACAGUAUAAAUAUGAACAUUUUACUAGGGAUCGUCACUGCUCUAAGCAUGAUGAUGAAGUAAAGUUUCCUAGAAAAUUAAGUCACAUGUUUGGAGCAUCUUGCCAAGAUGAACUUCUUGGAUCACAAUACCUAAAAGACGCCAAUUACAGGGAGAGACACCUACCAGUUUGCUCCAAACAUCUCUCAUGUAAACUGUCUCCUAUACUACUUUACACAUCUCCAGUGUAAUCACCUGCACUAAAUAAGCCUUGCAAAGCAUCCAGAGGCUUCAACAUAUAAUUUUGCUAAUAUACUGGACCAAAUUAGAAACCACAGAAUGAUUUCUGCACAAAGCUACAUGUGUAAGCCAUGACCUCUUUUCAACAUGGAAACAUUGCAUUUGCUAACCUAAAGUAAUGCAUACGUACCCCAUGCAUCUUAUCACGUGCUUCAGUUACCUAUGACUAUUCAGAAAUAAGGGAAACUCAGCAGUGGUGUUUCAUAGACUCGGAGUGAUUGUGCAUUAUUGUUUUCCAACACAUGCCACUCGUACUCCUUUCUGCACCUGUCAUAAAAAAAGAGCACUAAUGCCGUUCAUUGUUUAUUACGUGUAACAAAAUUUAUAAUGACAAUAUGCAGACAAAAUAACAUCAUGGCAUAAAAGUAUUGGUUUACACUAAAUAAGUAAAUUGUAAGCUUAUAUUGUGCUUCUGAACUAAAGUGAAGGAACAAAUUUAACAUAGUAUAGAUCACCCACCCAUUUCACAUAACCAUGGAUCCCAAAGAAAAGUGAAUUUUACAAGGAGCAGAUUCUUUUGGAGAAAACCAUGAACAUACAACUUUACUUCACAAGUGCAAGAAAACCAUAACAACCCCUAACCAUAUUAGUUUCCUGUCAUUUUCCUUGUGCUGGAUGAAGAUAUUUGUUAGACAACGGAUACAUAAUACAGACAAAACAUUUCUUUUUCAGCAAUACAAACAAACAAACUUACUAAGGUAAUAAAACAGAUCACAUGCAUGAAAAUCAAGAAAUAAGUUAGCCUAAUCAAGCGUGAUAUUAACUUAGAAAUAUCAACCACUAAUGCGACGGCAUAACUAACUGAUGCAAAACAUUUUUCUCCUAGACUAAUUCACACUUUAGACAAUCAUUACCGACACCAUACAAUAAAUUCCGUUAAGACAUUGUUUAUAUAAUACAGAAGACAGAACAUUUCACUUUCAAAUUCACAAACAAAAUCGAAGGCCAGCAGUUUAUGCCUACAUGUGACAAAGAGUUUAUAGCGAAGGACAACAGUUUAUGUCUACAUGUGAGCAAUGAGAUCUUCGCUAGAUACCAAAAUCAUUGGACUAUUAGUCACCCUAAGCAUAACACUAAGGUAAUAAAGCAUACCGUUAUUGCUUUUUACAAUAACUAAGAGCAUAUUGUGUGAUUUAAACUUACAUGUCACAGAUUCAAUGUUGUACAUACAUACCCACCAACCCAUCUACCUCAUACAUAACCAAUAAUCCAAAACAAUAAUGAUUCCUAGAAGAAAUACUUUGUUUACUUGCAUUAGAAAAAUGUCAUCUAAUGCAAUUUAUUACCAUCAGAAAAGUCAAUACUCAAAAGCUUGAAAAUAAAGUUGGAGAUACCUAGAACAGAAUUUGUUAUUUCAAAAGUAUUACUAAACGGAAUCCUUGGUUACUACUACUAGAAGACAACACUUCAUAGGGAAAAACGGUUACCAAUUUGCACCAAACAUUCCCCUUACCAACUAACACAUUCUCAUAGACAACUUCACAAACCUCUAAGCCUCCAGAUUACAUGCAGUAUGUAUACCCUCCAAAAACCAUGUGAUGGCAUCAACAUAUUUCACUUAUAAUCAACCAGAUUACAGAAACAAGCACAUACAAAUUUAAAGAAAAAGAAACCAGCAAGAUAAUGGAUGCAGUAUCAGGUCACAUGUUACCUCAGUAUGUCUUUGACAGUAGUUUAUCAAUGUCCGAUAUGGAUAUUGAGAGAAGGCCGUACCAUCGCAACUGCAGCUGCGCUCUGCACAAGCCAAAAGAUGCACGUCCUAGAGCAUGUUUUCAACACGGGAAUGUUGCUUUUUCUAAGAUACAGUCAUGGAUUGAUUGUUCCAUGUCUGUAGCUGCUACAAAGAGCUCGUCACAAUCCCUAUUUAACAGUGACUUGUCAGGUAAAAACAGAGACAAAGAUGGACUUUUGUUACUUAGAAACAAAGGAAUACAUGGAAUUUCAUCAGGUAGAUGAUAAAAUCUCUUCAAUUUUAAUUUUCAUAGAAUUAGAGAGUACUUUUGUAAAUUAGUUGAUCAACACAGUACUCGAACUCCUGUACGGAUUUCUAUGAUAUAGAAAUAGCACUAGUUUCCACUAUUAAUAAUUCAUGUACAUUCUGGUGCCAUUGCUUUUGGUUUUCUGUCACAUUAUUACAGACACAACUUGUUUGAAAAUUUCGCCACCCGUUCCUUGUUAACCUUGAUUCANUUUGUUAUUUCAAAAGUAUUACUAAACGGAAUCCUUGGUUACUACUACUAGAAGACAACACUUCAUAGGGAAAAACGGUUACCAAUUUGCACCAAACAUUCCCCUUACCAACUAACACAUUCUCAUAGACAACUUCACAAACCUCUAAGCCUCCAGAUUACAUGCAGACUGCAGUAUAUAUACCCUCCCAAAACCAUGUGAUGGCAUCAACAUAUUUCACUUAUAAUCAACCAGAUUACAGAAACAAGCACAUACAAAUUUAAAGAAAAAGAAACCAGCAAGAUAAUGGAUGCAGUAUCAGGUCACAUGUUACCUCAGUAUGUCUUUGACAGUAGUUUAUCAUUGUCCGAUAUGGAUAUUGAGAGAAGGCCGUACCAUCGCAACUGCAGCUGCGCUCUGCACAAGCCAAAAGAUGCACGUCCUAGAGCAUGUUUUCAACACGGGAAUGUUGCUUUUUCUAAGAUACAGUCAUGGAUUGAUUGUUCCAUGUCUGUAGCUGCUACAAAGAGCUCGUCACAAUCCCUAUUUAACAGUGACUUGUCAGGUAAAAACAGAGACAAAGAUGGACUUUUGUUACUUAGAAACAAAGGAAUACAUGGAAUUUCAUCAGGUAGAUGAUAAAAUCUCUUCAAUUUUAAUUUUCAUAGAAUUAGAGAGUACUUUUGUAAAUUAGUUGAUCAACACAGUACUCGAACUCCUGUACGGAUUUCUAUGAUAUAGAAAUAGCACUAGUUUCCACUAUUAAUAAUUCAUGUACAUUCUGGUGCCAUUGCUUUUGGUUUUCUGUCACAUUAUUACAGACACAACUUGUUUGAAAAUUUCGCCACCCGUUCCUUGUUAACCUUGAUUCAUCGUUUCAUAAUCCUCUGCUUUAGUUUGUUCUCUAAAUGAUAGUGAAGCACUACAACCACCUAAAACAGAGCAGUAAGUUUAUGCCAUCGUACAGUACUCUUCAGCAUUGAAACUCCAGGUUCAGAAGCAGAUAUUCUUCUAGAUCCUACUUUGAAUAAAAUAGCUUCAGGAAUUAUGUUGUCAUAGUACAAUUAGGAAACGAGCACAUCAACGUUUUUAGGAAUGUGACUAUACAACUUGGUAAAUGAUGUGGUUGUGUGUUAGUACACAACAUGCAGGACUUCUUUUUCAUCUUUCAGCAACGAUAUAAGAAUCAGAGAGACUACAUUAAAGAAAUGUGGUCACUGUAGAUCUUCAGUUUUGUCCCCUACCCUAGGCCGCCUAAAUAUCACUGGAAUAUUUCAUAUAAUGCCCCCCUUCCCAGAAAAAAAAUAUUAAACUCAUGAUGCAGCUCAACACAAAACAAACCAACUAUUCAUGGUUAUUAUUAUACAGCAAAUUUGCAAAUCUAAUACAUCUACUUGAGCAAGGAAAAGUUGUUUACAUAAGAUGGUAAAGAAAACGUUUACUCACAAUGCAGAAUAUAUAUAUAUGAUAUAUAUAUAUAUAUAUAUAUAAAUUAACAAUCAGUACCUAAUAAGAAACAGAAAAGACAACUAAAUACAUGUUGGCAAGGCUAGAGGGUAUAUGCCAAGUCUUCUUUCUUGUCUUCUACCAGAUCACUAACAUAUCAGUCAAUCCAUAUGCCACAUUUUCAAAUUUUAAUUUCACAGCAUGCAAAUUUGUAACAAAAAAAAAAAGACGGAUAUCACUAUUUUAAUUCACACUGCAGCUCAAUAGUCAAACCAAAGCAAACCUGAUAUUCAUUCUGAAUAGAAGAAAGCAGAUUAGGUACAUUACGAAGACUGAUUGUUUCCAGAAUCAACAAUGAAGGCUGAAAGAUUCAAAAUCUUACAGACGAAUGAUAUGAGUAGAGUAUCUAGCAAAGCAAUAAAACUGUAAAUUUAAAACAUACUGUUACAGAUUAACAUCAAUACAGUCUGUGGAUGGCAUUUUGUUUAACCCGUAUCAGUUGACGGUACAUACAAAGAGUAAGAAGUCAACAAGUGAUUGCUAUGCAGAAACGACUUAAGAUGUACUUCAAGAAGUAACUGAAAAACACUGAAGAUUAUGUAAGACAUCAAUGACAUAAUAAACCAUUUUGACUAGUAAAGAAUGAUUUUGUGACUCCCACACUAGCAGGACAUUACAACUAAACUAGCAUAGCAUACCGUUAUUGGUUUUCAUAACUAUUAACUAACAGCAUAUGUGUACAUACAAAACAUAUAAUACAGAUUGCUGUAUAGACAUACCCACCAAUCUCAUACAUAACCAAGAAUCCAAAACAAUAGAAAUUCUCAAAGGAGAUAAUUUGUUCACUUACACAUAACAGUUUAUGUCUUUAAGUGCAAAUUUUUGUCUUACUACUAAACUAUGAGAUUCCUUUGGAGAUGUCACCAGUGGGACAUUUGAAAAUAAAGUUGGAGAUGCCUAGAAGAGGAAGUUGUUAUUUCAAACAUAGCACACAAACAAUUUCAUGGAACAUUUUCCUACUAAAAGACAACAAAUUCUAGGAAGAAACGGUUACCACUUUGCACCAAACAAUUCCCUUGCUAACCAAGACUUUCUCCUAGACAACAUAGUCCUAUAAUAAAUUUACGUGCAGUAUAUAAACCCCUCGAAAAUCCAUGUGAUGGCAUCAACAUAAUAACCUUUAUUCUCACUUCUCAAGUCUCAACCAUAUUACAGAAACAAGAACAAACUUUAACAAAAAGGAAAAAAGACAGCAGCAAGGCAAUGGAUGCAGCAGCAAGUCACAUGAUGCUUCAUUGUGCCUUUGAUAGUUGUUUAUCAAUGUCUGAUAUGGAGAUUGAGAGAAGGCCAUACCAUCGCAACUGCAGCUGCGCGCUGCACAAGCCAAAAGAUUCACGUCCAGCUGCAUGUUUUCGACAUGGGAAUGUUGCAUUUUCUAAGAAAGGGUCAUGGAGUGAUUGCUCCAUAACUCUAAGCUCCCCCAAAAUCUCGUCGCAGUCCCUCUUUUUGUCCGUUCAUCUUCAGGUAACAACAAAUAAAAACAUAAACCUUUGUUCGUAGAAACAAUGGAAAUUAUGAAGAUUUGUUUAGAAAAAGUUGGUAUUUUAGCUUAGUAGAACUAGAGGAGUACUCUUGUAAAUAUAUGCCUUGACAUAGUACUAAAACGCCUGUAAUGAAAUUUUUGGACAAAGAAAGCACUAGAAUUGAUCACUAUUUCUGUUUACUAAUCAUUCUGGGGUCCAACUAAUUGCAAAUGUUAUUGGGUUCCAGACACAUUGUUAUCGGCAGGCCUCUCAGAAAAUUUCAUUAUUAGUAUAUCAGCGGAAAAUAUAUUGUUAAAUAAUCACAUUAACUACAAAAGUUAGAGCUCAAGAAAGUAGUUAAGUAGGCAUGCUUCGUUUAGAACUACUUUAACAGUUCACAUCAAUGAUUUUUUUAAUAGUAGUGGGGACUACAAGGAAAUAGGUUAGUUUUCUUUUUUGUCCCCUAUCCCUGCAACUCAAAUAUCAGUUAUGUCAUAUACCAUUUUCAUCAUACGUGAGUUUGCUCUGUAUUAAAAAACUACAAAAGGAGAUUACUAUGCAUUGAAUAUGUUGGGGAACAAAAAAGAGAAAACUACUAUUUUAUUAACAAAUCAACUAAGCUGUGUAACAGUGACACGAGUAUGAACUGAGAAUUGUAUUUCCAUAUUUUGAUUAAAUUAUAUUUCUGGCAUAAUGAGUCCAAAUCAAUCAGACUUCCAAAGAAAAGAUUCUGUCGCUUAUAUAGAAGUAAUUUUUCUAGUGUGGUUUGUUAGUUACAGUAUAAAUAUGAACAUUUUCCUAGGGACCGUCACUGCUCUAAGCAUGAUGAUGAAGUGAAGUUUCCUAGAAAAUUAAGUCACAUGUUUGGAGCAUCUUGCCAAGAUGAACUCCUUGGAUCACAAUACCUAAAAGACGCCAAUUACAGAGAGAAACACCUACCAGUUUGCUCCAAAGAUCUCUCAUGUCAACUAAACAGUAUCUCCUAUACUACUUUACACAUCUCCAGUGUAAUCACAUGCACUAAAUAAGCCUUGCAAAGCAUCCAGAGGCUUCGACAUAUAAUUUUGCUAAUAUACUGGACCAAAUUAGAAAAACACAACCACAGAAUAAUUUCUGCACAAAGCUAAAUGUGUAAGCCAUGUGACCUCCUUUCAACAUGGAAACAUUGCAUUUGCUAACCUAAAGUAAUGCAUACGUACCCCAUGCAUCUUAUCACGCGCUUCAGUUACCGAUGACUUUUCAGAAAUAAGGGAAACUCAGCAGUGGUGUUUCAUAGACUCGGAGUGCUUGUGCAUUAUUGUUUUUCAACACAUGCCACUCGUACUCCUUUGUGCACCUGUCAUAAAAAAAGAGCACUAUUCCCGUUCAUUGUUUAUUUGUUUUUAAAUUGAUGAGCUUACAUAACCAUACACAUGUAACAAAAUUUAUAAUGACAAUAUGCAGACAAAAUAACAUCAUGGCAUAAAAUUAUUGGUUUACACUAAAUAAGUAAAUUGUGAGCUUAUAUUGUGCUUCUGAACUAAAGUGAAGGAACAAAUUUAACAUAGUAUAGAUCACCCACCCAUUUCACAAAACCAUGGAUCCCAAAGAAAAGUGAAUUUUACAAGGAGCAGAUUCUUUUGGGGGAAACCAUGAACAUACAACUUCACUUCACAAGUGCAAGAAAAGCAUAACAACCCCUAACCAUAUUAGUUUCCUGUCAUUUUCCUUGUGCUGGAUGAAGAAAUCUGUUAGACAACUGAUACAUGAUACAAAGAAAACAUUUCAAUUUCAGCAAUAAAAACAAACAAACUUACUAAGGUAAUAAAACAGAUCCCAUGCAUGAUAAUCAAGAAAUAAGUUAGCUUAAUCAAGCGUGAUAUUAACUUAGGAAUAUUAACCACUAAUACGACAGCAUAACUAAUUGAUGCAAAACAUUUUUUUCCUAGAUUAAUUCACACUUUAGACAAUCAUUACCGACACCAUACAAUGAAACUUUAAGACAUUGUUUAUAUAAUACAGAAGACAGAACAUUUCACUUUCAACAUCACAAACAAAAUCGAAGGACAGCAGUUUAUGCCUAAAUGUGACAAAAGAGUUUAUAACGAAGGACAACAGUUUAUGUCUACAUGUGAGCAAUGAGAUCUUCUCUAGAUACCAAAAUCAUUGGACUAUUAGUCACCCUAAGCAUAGCACUAUGGUAAUAAAGCAUACCGUUAUUGCUUUUUACAAUAACUAAGAGCAUAUUGUGUGAUUUAAAAUUACAUGUCACAGAUUCAAUAUUGUAUAUGCAUACCCACCAACGAACCCAUCUAUCUCAUACAUUACCAAUAAUCCAAAACAAUAAUGAUUCUUAGAAGAUAUAUUUUGUUUACUUACAUUAAAACAAUGUCUUCUAGUGCAAUUUAUUAGUUUACAAAGUUAAAAAUAUAAUUCCAUCAGAAAAGUCAAUACUCAUAAUCUUGAAAAUAAAGUUGGAGAUACCUAGAGCAAAGUUUGUUAUUUCAAAAGUAUUACUAAAUGGAAUCCUUGGUUACUUACAUAUAACAGGUUGUCUUUAAGAGCAACUUUUUGUUUUAGUAUUAAAACUAUGAGAUUCCUCUGGAGAUGUCACCUUGGACUUUUGAAAAUAAAGAUGGAGAUGCCUAGAAGAGGAAGUUGUUAUGUCAAACAUAGUACACAAACAAUUUCAUGGAACAUAUUACUACUAAAAGACAACAAAUUCUAGGAAGAAACGGUUACCACUUUGCACCAAACAUUUCCCUUGCUAACUAACACUUUCUCCUAGACAACAUAGUCCUCUAAUCAAAAUACGUGCAGUAUAUAAAUCCCUCCAAAAUCCAUGUGAAGGCAUCAACAUAGUUAACUUUAUUCUCACUUCUCAAGUCUCAACCAUAUUACAGAAACAAGAACAAAACUUACAAAUAGGAAAAAAGACAGCAACUAGGGGUGAGUACGGUACGGGUAAAGCCGGGGUUCCCGAGAUCUCCAGAACCAUCCCAAUUUUUGGAUAUUCAAAAUAUUGAGCAACAGGGCAAUGGAUGCAGUAGCAAGUCAUAUAAUGCUUCAAUGUGCCUUCAAUAGUUGUUUAUCAAUGUCUGAUAUGGAGAUUAAGAGAAGGCCAUACCAUCGCAACUGCAACUGCGCGCUGCACAAGCCAAAAGAUUCACAUCCAGCUGCAUGUUUUCGACAUGGGAAUGUUGCAUUUUCUACGAAACUGUCAUGGACUGAUUGCUCCAUAACCCUAAGCUCCCCCAAAAUCUCAUCGCAGUCCCUCUUUGUCCGUUCAUCUUCAGGUAACAACAAAUAAAAAUAUAAACCUUUGUUCGUAAUGGAACUUAUGAAAAUAUGUUUAGAAAAUGUGAGUAUUUCAGGUUAGGAAAACUAGAGAAGUACUCUUGUAAAUUUAUGUUUCAACAUAGUACUCAAACACCUGUGAUGAAAUUUUUGGACAAAGAAAGCACUAGAAUUGAUCGCUAUUGCUGUGUACUAAUCAUUCUGGGGUACAACUGGUUGCAAUUGUUAUUGGGUUCAAGACACAUUGUUAUUGACAGGCCUCUCUCAGAAAAUUUCAUUAUUAGUAUAUAAGCGGUAAAUAUAUAAUUAAAUAAUCACAUCAACUACAUAAGAAGUUGGUGUGGUAAGAAAGUAGAUAAGUAGGCAUGGCUUCAUUUAGAACUCUUCAACAGUUCACAUCAAUGGAUUUUUAAUAGCAGUGGGGCCUACAAGGAAAUCGGUAAGUUUUCUUUUUUGUCCCCUAUUCCUUCCCCUCAAAUAUCAGUUAUGUCAUAUACCAUUUAUAUGUAAGUUUCCUCUGUAUUUAAAAAACUAUAAAAGGAGAUUACUAUGCAUUGAAUAUGUUGAGGAACAAAAAAGAGAAAGCUACUAUUUUAUGAACAAAUAGUAGUUUGGAGUAUGGUUAGGAAAUUAAGAUAAUUAGGUAUAUAUGUUGAGGAAUUGCUAAUUUGGAGUAUGGUUAGGGGUUGUUAUGCUUUUCUUCGGUUUGCACUUGUGGAGUGAAGUUUUAUGUUCAUGAAUUUUUUCCAAAAGGCAAUUCCUACUAAAUCAAAUUACACUCAAGUCAAAAAUUCCAGCUACACUAUUUAUAAACCCUUCAAAUGCAUGCAUUCGUUUCAAGUUAUUAGUUUAUUCAUAACAGUCAGCUAAGUCCCACAAACACCGUAACUAAAAGAAAAGUGCAGAUUGAGAAACAAUGGAUGCAGCGUCAGGUCAUAUGAUCAAUAAAUAUGUCUAUUUUAGUAGUUUAUCAAUGUCUGAUACAGAUAUUGAGAGAAGGCCAUACCACCUUCAUUACAGCUGGGCUUUGCACAAGUCGAAAGCUACACCUACCGCCUGUUUCCAGCAUAGAAAUGUUUCAUUUCUAAAGAAACAGUCAAGGAAUGAUUGCUCUGAAUCCAUAACUUUUUCCAACAGCACUGCACGUUCUUCACUUAUCUCUGCUCUGCCAGGUAGGAGUAUAUCAGAAAGAUAUGAACCAGUCAUAUAGAUAACAGAAAUUAUACAGUUUAGGAAAUGAAAAGUAGCUAGAAGUUGUUUCUCAAAGCAUCAACUGCUCCUGCUCCUUCAUUAAAAAGUUGUGUACGGAGCGAUUACAAUCCUCUCUUUCACUUCCAUCUUCUCAGUUUAGCUAAAUGUAUAGAGUCCGUGUCUUUUAUAUAAUAUCCAAAUGAUACUCUCUUUUUUUAUCAAUUCAUCCUCCUAAGAACAUGUGCUUCAUUUUCACAAAUUUACAAAUAUUUUUUUAUUUAAAUCCAUUCCUCAAAAAUGCUAUUUUAGUUAUUGAGCACAAAAAAAUUAGUUGCAUGUAUGUCAUCUACUCAAAAAAAUUAGUUGCAUGUAUGUCAUCUACUCAAAAGGCAACAUUCCCAUGUUUUCGACAUGGGAAUGUUGCCUUUUCUAAGAAACGGUCAUGGAGUGAUUGCUCCAUAACUCUAAGCUCCCCCAAAAUCUCGUCGCAGUCCCUCUUAUUGUCCGUUCAUCUUCAGGUAACAACAAAUAAAAAUAUAAACCUUUGUUCGUAGAAACAAUGGAACUUAUGAAAAUUUGUUUAGAAAAAGUUGGUAUUGUAGCUUAGUAGAACUAGAGGAGUACUCUUGUAAAUUUAUGUCUCGACAUAGUACUCAAACACCUGUAAUGAAAUUCUUGGACAAAGAAAGCACUACAAUUGAUCACUAUUGCUGUGUACUAAUCAUUCUGGGUACAACUGGUUGCAACUGUUAUUGGGUUCCAGACACAUUGUUAUCGACAGGCCUCUCUCAGAAAAUGUCAUUAUUAGUAUAUCAGCGGAAAAUAAUCACAUCAAUUACAUAAGUUAGUGCUGUAAGAAAGUAGUUAAGUAGGCAUGGCUUCGUUUAAAACUAAUUUAACAGUUCACAUCAAUGAUUUUUUUAAUAGUGGUGGGGACUAUAAGGAAAUAGGUAACUUUUCAUUUUUGUCCCCUAUCCCUGCGACUCAAAUAUCAGUUAUGUUAUGUGCCAUUUUCAUAGUACGUAAGUUUGCUAUGUAUUAUAAAACUAUAAAAGGAGAUUACUAUGCAUUGAAUAUGUUGAGGAACAAACAAGAGAAAACUACUAUUAUAUCAACAAAUCGACUAAGCUGUGUAACAGUGACACAAGUAUACACUGAGAGUUGUAUUUCCAUAUUGUGACCAAAAUUCUAUUUCGGGCAUGAGUCCAAAUCAAUCAGACUUCUUCCAUACAAAAGAUUCUCUCACUUAUAUAACAGCUAUAUUUUUUAGUGCGGUUUGUUAGUUACAGUAUGACUAUGAACAUUUUCCUAGGGAUCGUCACUGCUCUAAGCAAGAUUGAUAAAGUAAAGUUUCCUAGAAAAUUAAUUCACAUGUUUGGAGCAUCUUGCCAAGAUGAAAUCCUUGGAUCAUAAUACUUAAAAGACACCAAUUCUAAGGAGAAACACCUAGCAGUUUGCUCCAAACAUCUCUCAUGUCAAAUGAACAGUAUCUCCUAUAGUAAAUCACACUUCUCCUGUGUAAUUACAUGCACUAAAUAAGCCUUGCAAAGCAUCCAGAGGCUUCAACAUAUAAUUUCGCUAAUAUACUCAACAAAAUUAGAAAAACAAAUCCACAGAAUGAUUUCUGCAGCAGAUCAUAUGAUACUUCAAUAGUGUCUGAUGAUAAUUCUAUUUAUUUCUGAUACUGACAUUGAGAUAACACUAUAACAUUGCGACUGGUUGUCUCCAGGCAAAAAGCUAAAUGGGUAAGCCUUACAACCUCCUUUCAACAUGGAAACAUUGCAUUUGCUAACCUCAGAUAAUGCAUAGCCAUAGGUACCCCAUGCACCUUAUCACACGCUUCAGUUAAAUGUGACUUUUCAGGUAGAAAUAAGGGAAACUCAGCAGUGAUGUUUCAUAGACUCGAAGUGCUUGUGCAUUAUUGUUUUUCAACACAUGUCACUCGUACUCCUUUGUGCAACUGUCAGAAAAAUACAGCACUAAUCCCUUUCAUUGUUUGUUUGCUUUUAAAUUGAUGAGCUUAUAUAUCCAUACACAUGUAACAAAAUUUAUAAUGACACUAUGCAGACAAAAUAUAACGUCAUUACAUGGCAUAAAAUUAUUGUUUUUACACUAAAUUAGUAAAUUGUGAGCUUAUAUUGUGCUUCUGAACUAAGGUGAAGGAACGAAUUUAACAUAGUAUAGUUCACCCACCCAUUUCACAUAACCAUGGAUCCCAAAGAAAAGUGAAUUUACAAGGAGCAGAUUCUUUUGGAAAAAACCAUGAACAUACAACUUCACUCUACAAGUGCAAACCGAAGAAAAGCAUAACCCCUAACCAUACUCUCUCUCUCUUUCUCUCAUAUAAAUAUUAAGUACUUACAAGCCUGGCAUAGGCAACUAACAAUUUCAGGCUGAAAUAGAACUACAGCUUUAAACUUUUGAUGUGCGACUGAACAAUCUUGGCCAUAGUUUAAAGACAAAAUCUUGUAGAUGAAUGAUAGUUCAAAAUUAACUACUAUAAUUGCUUUAGGAAUCUUUACCAAGUGUUGUACCUUUCGCAGGAUUAAUGAGAUGCCAGAGAUUGUAGAGUUGAUAUAUUUUUAUUAAAAAUUAGAGGGAGUGUAGUUUAUUUUUGUAGUUUGGGUCAGAAUAAUAUUUCUCUAAAAUUCAACGAAUUUUGUGAUGAUGAGCAUAUUAUAUAUACAAUAAAAUUACACCAGCAAGACAAAUAAAACCAUUUUUAUUCCCUUUAUCAUAUACUAACCCACUGUAUAAAGAUAUGCAUUAAAGAAUUCACAACAUUGUAUAACUUCUCAACUGCGCAUUUGUAUUUGAAAUCCAUUAGAACUUUACAACAUUAGUUAAAGGCUGUGCCAUGCAAUGACAUAAAAUUAUGCAUAAGAUGAUAAUUUGAGGAAUUCCACUCAAUCCUAUUUACAUGGAGAACAUAAUACAGGAUUGAGAAUAAACAGUGUCGUGUCAUCUUUCUUGUAAUGGAGGAAAAAAUUUGUUAGAAAAAAUAACAAUAACAACAGACAAACAUUUCACUUUUAACAUCACAAACGGACAAGUCUACAUUGUAAGACAAUGGUUAAUGUCUAUAUGUGAGUAGUGGAAUUUUCUAUGAACACCAAGAAUUCUGCUAUUACUGUUCAAGUCAUUGAAAUAGUAGUUGCUCUAAGAAUGACAGCUAAGAUAAUAGAAACAGAUCUCCAGCAUAAAAAUCAAGGACUCACUUGGCCUAAUCAAGACAAGCCACUCAAUUUCCAUUAUUUAAAUACAAAGAAGUAUAUUUUAGCCUAUAAAAAGAGAUGGAAACUCCUUCGAGAAGCACGCUUGGUGUACACCUGAAUAACUAACUGAACAAGGCUUUUUCCUCCCAAAUCAAACUACACUCAAGUCGAAAAUUCCAGCUAAACUAUUUAUAAACCCUUCAAGUGCAUGCAUACGUUUCAAAUUAUUUAGUUUAUUCAUAACAGUCAGCUAAGUCCUACAAACACCGUAACAAAAAAGAAAAGUGUAGGUUGAGAAAACAAUGGAUGCAGCUUCAGGUCAUAUGAUGAAUCAAUAUGUCUAUGAUAGUAGCUUAUCAAUGUCUGAUAGAGAUAUUGGGAGAAGGCCAUACCACCAUAACUGCAGCUGUGCAUUGCACAAGUCGAAAGCUACACCAACCGCCUGUUUCCAACAUAGAAAUGUUUCAUUUGUGGAAUGAUUGCUCUGUAUCCGUAACUUCUUCGAAAAGCGCUGCACAUUCUUCAAUUAUCUCUGCUCUGCCAGGUAGGAGAUAUCAGAAAGAAAUGAACCAGUCAAAUAAAUAACAGAAAUUAUACAGUUUAAGAACUGAAAAGUAGCUAGUAGUUGUUUCUCAAAGCAUAUAAUGCUGCUGCUCCUCAUUAAGCAGUUGUGUAAGGAGCGAGUACAGUUCUCUCUUUCACUUCCAUCUUCUCAAUUUAGCUGAAUGUAUAGAGUCUAUGGCUGUUUAUAUAAUAUCCUACGAUACUUUUUUUUAUCAUAUCAUCGAACCUACUAAAACUCGAGCAUGCUGCAUUUUCAGAAAUUUACCGAUUUUUUUAACUCAAAUCCAUUCCACAAAAAUGCUAUUUUAGUUAUUGAGCACACAAAAUUUAGUUGCAUGUAUGUCAUCUACUCAAAAUGGUAACCCGUAAGUUGGAAUAUUAUGCAGAUAGUAUUUUCGAAUGCAGAUUAAAAAAUGGGGCAACAAUCAACACUCCUGCAUAAAUUAGAACAAGUUCCUCUUCUCCCAAACUAACCAUUAAGUUAUUCAUGAAGAGAAAAAUUGUCGCCAGGUUGCUCUCUAUCAGAUAACAUAUCAACAGACAACAGUCUUCUUAUGACUGCCUUUUCUUUUCAUUCUCAGCAAAUUUUAUUACUUAAUGCAUUCUUUGGGGGGGGGGGCAUAGCAACUCAUCUAGCAAUAAUAUUUCUAAAGCUUUCAGUUUAAACACGAACAUGGCUUUCGGACAAACUAGACUGUUGCGGUUCUUCAUUAAAAAAAUAAUGAACACUGUUCCACGCAGGAGUGCAUUAAUAAACAUUUAACGAAUCAAAAUAGGAAAGGAACCUAAAAACAUACAAGGCAAAACAGUAAAUUAUGAGGUGAAUGGGGAUCGAACAGAUGACCUACAGAUCUUGUCUGACACUCUCCCGACUGAGCUAUCCGCGCUGCUGUUAUGCUUCUGCACAUCAAUAUAUCUAACCACUAAACUGUAACAUUACAUUUCAUGCCAAUGAUAUUAGUAGAGGUCUAGAGUUGUAUCUCAUCAACAUACAAGAGAACAAAGUAGACAUUAUAAAACAUAUUAUUUAUAUUACAAGAAAGAAAGUGCCAUUUUGUUUUCAUCCUGGCACACACGACACACCCAUAUCGAUCGAAAGUAAGACCAGACAAUUAGCCAAAAAAUGGUUGUUUUGGAGAAUAAAAUAUCUGUAGAUAGUACUGCAAAGAGAUGCAAAACAUUACAAAUUAUGUAAGAAGCCUUUUCAUACAUUCAACCCAUGUCAACUUUUUGAUUACAAUAAGAAAGGGAGAUUAUACAUUUCAAAUCAUGUCAAUAAGAUUACUAUGUACUCAUGAUGCAGCUUAAAGCCUAAAUAUAACAAAACACAAUCAAUGAAUCACUAAAAACAGUACCAAAAACCAUAAAAGGUAAAAGAGAGAACAGAGUGCAUAUAUGCGGUGAACGUGGAUCAAACACGUGACCUUCAGAUCUUCAGUCUGACGCUCUCCCAACUGAGCUAUCCCCGCUACUGUUAUGCCUCUGAAAACCAAUAUAUAGAACCACUUAUAUCUAUAUGGUAACAGCUUAUAACCAGUUAAUUUAGUGCAUAAAUUAUAAAAAUGAAACAUAGUAUAUCAAUAAAAUGAAACAUAAACCUCGUAUAAUCUUACAGAGUGAACAUGUUGUCAUGUUUCAGCAUCAUCUGGUAAAGGUGCAUAUGAACCUUACGAGGGUAUGUAUAUCAACAUGAUCUGAAAUAGGUAUACCGUAUCUAAUAUCAAUGAUAGAUGAGGUGUAUCUCAGCGCAUACGAGAGAACAAAAUAGACAUCACAAAACAUAUUGUUAGAAAUAUUCACUAUAAUUACGUAGGUCAGGAGCCUUAAUUACUUAACAUCUGAACUACAAAUAAGAAAGUUCCCUGGUGUUCUCAUUGUGGCACACACCCAUAUUGGAUAACAACUUAAAAGUAGGUCCAAACAAUUAGCUAAAAAUACAAAUUAUAUGAGAAUCUUAUUAUCAUUCAAAACAUGUCGAUAAGUAACUUGACUUUAUGACUACCACAAUACAUUGAAAAACAACAGCAUUAGUUAUAAUAACCACCCACCAAGAAUCAGAAACAACAAUUAACAGAAAAGAGACUCUCUAUAAAUUUGCAUAGCACCAUUAUGUCUCCUGUUUAACAAUAAAAAGUUAAAAACAAGAUUAUUCCCAAGGUAUAGUCAUGACUCAUAAAGUUAAAGCAACACCAAAUGGAUUAGUUACAAGAUAACAAAAAUUAAAGGCCCGACUUCCUGUAUUGUUUGAAUUUACAGAAACAAGCAAAUAAGAUUCUGAAAGAAGAUAUCAUCAAAACAGUGGAUGCUACACUUUAUCUGAUACUCCAAUCUGACUUUAAUAGUAGUUUAGAUAUGUCUGCUACAUAUAUAGAGAGAAGUCCAUACUGUUGCUAAUUGCAGCUCUACACUGCAAAAUCCGGAUUGUUGUAUGGUAGCCCAACACAUAUUUUCAGCAUAUAUAUGUUGCAUUUCCAUAGAAACAUUCAUAGAGUGAUUUCUCCCAUGCAUGUAGCUUCUUCAUAAAGCUCGUCACCCUCCCUAUCAUUCUGUGCAAGGUAGAAACCAUUACAGAGGAAAAAAAUUCUUCAGCAGAAGCAAAGGAUAACAUGAAAGCUUAUGUACUAGAGUACAAAUGUUCUGCAGUUCAAUCUCAUAUAAACAGAGUUAAGUUCGGGAUUUCAGCAAACAGUAAUCAAAAUGCCUACGAAACCAUCAUGACAAAUAAAUGCACUAAAACUCAAUGUCUUAUUAAUACAUUGAUGAAUCUUCCGCUAUGGCACUUUUCCUAAUAAUAAGUGUAAAUUCAAUCGAAGUAAGAUAUAGUCAAAGAGUAGCAUUGACGUUCCAGAACACGCUAAACCUAAACUAUAUGAGAAAAUUCCGAUGGCAGUUUAAACCAAUUUAAUCAGUCCGAAUAAAAAUUAUUAUCGAAAUUUCCAGCAGACAACAGAUGUAUUAUCUGGUGCGUAUAAAGCAAGCUAUUACUGCUACCCGGCAAAUAAACAAAGUUUAGGCAUUACAUACACAAUUUUACUAAUCAAAAUUGAAACAGACUGAAACAAGUAAGAUCAAAACAAAUUGGGCGGGAACGCCCAAAAAUAUUGAAACACGGGCGUAUAAAUAUCUAUUUCAAGCACAUAAAAUUAUCAGUACUGCAUGCCAAAAAAAAAAAAGUUAAAUUCAAGACGAAAAUAUUGGUUUCGAAACGAAGUUAUAUGAUCAAUUAGAGUAAGUAAACAGCAUAGCCACAAUACAGAAUACACUCGCAUGUUAUUAGCAGUGUUGUAGAAUGUGAAUAAACUGAUCACGAGAAUUAAAAUAUUCGAACCUGUAAUUAGAAAAUUAACGCCAAUUUAGGAAGUUUUGUUAGUGAUCUUGCUUCUUUUUCUGUCGUCCGGGAAUUUAGGGUUAACAGUUUAGAACAAAUUAUCGAGAGAGGCGAGAGAAUUUCUGGACAAGUGGAAAAUAAAUUUAAUUUGGGCUGUUUGUGUUCUCUAAGCGGGGGACGUGUAUUUAUAUUUUUCUCUUUCGCGUCGUGUUUCCGGAUCGUUUGCUUACCGUUUACGCAUCGCCUGACAUGCUGAGAAAUUAAGUAGGAGUAUUUUUUUUCCCGGAUAACCUCAUUAUCCGGUUCAAUUUAUUUGUCUUAUUUGAUUUUUUAUGAUUAAAUUGAACAAAUUUUGAUCGAUAAUUAGUAAUUAUUCUUACAUGAUCUUUAAAAGCGAAAAAAUAUAUUUUAUAAUAAAAUAGAUGUAGGUUCUGGUAAUAUACUUUUUCUAAUUAUUAUAUAUAUAUAAAUAUCAGUCAAAAUUUGGUUAAUUUGACCGUACAAAUCAAACAAGACAAAUACAUUGAGACAGAGGGAAUAUAUAGUUUAAUUUUUUUUCACGAAAAUGUAUGUGCUCAUAGAUUUUGAAUGCACAUGUACUUUUCUUAUAAUAUAGUCUCUUGUUCGUAUAUUCACAUAAUUUAUUUUAAAUAUAAUGUAAAAUUGUUGAUUAAGGAUAUUUUAGUUACAGUUUAAAUGUAGAAAAAUAUAAAAUAUUUAUAUUGAUUUUAUAAAAAAAUCAUUGAGCGUUUUUGGCAAUGACUAUGAGCUGUUUAUAGUUGAACUAGACCGAAUCAGAGACACUUAAAUGAAAGAUAUAUAGGAUCUUUCACUCUAUCUCCUCUUAUGAAUACAUAUGCAUUUGAAACUUUUAAGUUUAGAUUUUAUUUUAAGUUUUUGUUCCAGGUAGAGUAUCAACUAUCACCGUCUAUAUUUGGGAAAUUUACAAUAAUACAAAUAUUUUUAACUAUCUCCGUUCAUGCAAUGGAAGGGGCCAUGGCUCGUUGGGAGCUCGAGCAAUCUCUACAAAGCUUGUUAUGAUCAGAACGCAAAAUUACUCUUUUAGGCACAAAAAUGCUUCUGUGGUUGACAUUGUAUUGGCAGUGUGACAGGUAGCUCAUGACUAAACUGACGAAAUUUGCCCAACCAGAGCUCAUGACAAGUUCCGCAUCUUAUAAUCCCUUGCCAGUGGUAAGGAUAAAGUUGCCUUCAAUGAAGAUCCAUCGAAGCUAUAACAGAUAGUAUUAUACAGAAAAAGAAAAGAAAAUCUAUAACAGAUAUUGGCAAUGUACGGCAGCCAUGUAUCCAACCUGGAAUUCUAAAUAGUUCUGCACUAUCAUUCAUUCACUUUCCUCAAUAUAUCAUGAACCACAAAUUAAAUACAAGUAUACUGCAGAGCUUUGGAGCAUCCUUCAACUGCAUAGUUCUAAACUUCUAUGUCCAUCAAUAAAAUUAUGUUUAUGCAAGCUCAUAAUAGAAGGCAAUUUUAGCCACACAUCAUUGCUCUCACCUGUUUUUCCAUUUUUUUUCUUUUCGUGAUGACAUACAAUAUUGCCUAGUAUUGGAAACAAAGAUAGCUAAUGAAAUCAAUUUUAAUCUUUAAUAUCAAGUUCUAAACCUCAGGGGAGGCUGGUACCCUAGUGGAUCAGAGACUGCGAGGAGAGAUUUUAAGCAACUAAAGGUCCAUUAAACAGAUACAAGAGAAUAUAACAUCCGGAAAUUCCACAACCAAAUGCACUUUUUUUUUUUUGGCUUUGUAUUUCUUGUUUCCAAGGGACAUGGUCAGCGCGGGGGGCCGGGGCAAGUAAAACUAAUCAUGCUGAUAGAUAGGAUCUAUGUAACGUCCGCCUAGUGAAAAAACAGCAAGGAAGUAGAUUAUACUAAUUUAACUUUUAACUUGGGGUUGAGUAGAGGAAGGUUGCUGCUGGGCUUGUACUUUUUGAGGAACCUUCGCUGCCAUAGUCCGAAGCUGGUUUGCUACCUCUGUGAAAUUCGGUCUUUCUGAAGGAUCUGCAGACCAGCAUCUUUCCAUCAGUGAUUUCCAUUCCUGGUCGCAAAAGUCUGGUACAUGCGGUCGCAGACUGUUGCUUACAAUGCCACCUGUUAUACACAUACAUGCGUACAUGAAACACUUACUUAAAAAUUGCUUAAUCUUCUUGGUUAUAUUGUCCCGAAGAGUUCUAACUUCUACUAGUCAUGUACACUAUUUAUGUUAAUAAUAUUACCGAUAAUGGCCCCAUAAUGCAGGUCUUUAUAUGGCUCUUCUCCAGUUAGAAGUUCCCAUAACACAAUGCCAAAUGAGAACACAUCAACCUAUAAUUUUCGAAAAUCAUAUAUAACCUUGUUAAGAAAGUUCACACUGCAAAGGCAUCUUUAAUAGAGAGCGAGAGAGGGGGGAGGAGAACCUUCUCGGACACAAGGCUACUGCUACCGUUUAGAAGCUCUGGCGCCAUCCAAGGAAGUGUUCCUCGUACUCCACCUGAGAUUAGUGUCUGGCAUUUUACCUUGGACAGCCCCAAAUCACCAACCUGCUGAAAACUAAAAUGAGAACCAUAGACGAGUGAUGUUGAAGUAGUAUGCUUUUUAAUAUUCAUUAUGCUAACUGAACUAGAAAAGAAUUCUUUUCUGACAAAAGCACCGGAGCACUAGUCUGUUACUGUAACUACUUCACGAAUCUAAAAUCCAUUGAUCUAUACCAGUUUACUGGGCACUAAGGAUAAUCAGUUUAUAGUCAUCUCUUGGAUUUCAUAUGAUACGUUGAGUAAACCAAAUUAUCUUAGGUAACUAAGGUAAAUAAGUAUCCAAAUAUAAUACGAACUCCAGCUUGAAAUAUCAGAAAUUCUGGAAGGCCGAGAACAAUCUGAUGCAUGAAUGAUGAAUGUCAAGCAUAUUUGUUUCUGAAUACCAGAAAGGCAGAAAGUCAGAAACAGAUGAACAAUACAAUGCAGAGCAUGAAGAUAGUUUCACUCCAGUCUGAAGAUGCUUGAGAGUUAUGGCAUAUUAAUUUUGCCAAGUAAGUUAACAUGUACAACGUAUAAACUUAAAUGACAUCUAUGCGCAUUUUAUCAGAGUAUAAUAAAGAGCCAAUUUACUUUUAUGUGUAUAUAAAAUAUGUGUUUACACACACACACACAUAUAAUCUUAAUAUCAGUUAAAAAAAUUUAAAUCACACUCUUUUGCAUCAGCCGAACAUUUAGUUUGUUUCAAUGACAAAAAUGCUUUAUGAUCACCAAUGUAAACCCCAAAGUCAAUUGCUACUGCAAUUGAAUAUUUAUAUGCUGGAUGUUUUAAUAGUUGCUAUUUGAAUUAAAAAUAUCCGAUUGUUACAUACUACAGUAUACAGUAUUAAAAGUUCUAUAGGUGCAUAUCAUCACACUUUCAUGUUCCAAUUGAACACGUAGCCCGCCCUUUUUGAUUUUCUCAAACCCAAUAUCAAGAUCCAAUAGAAGAAAACAAAGCGAAUCUAGAGAUUGUAUUUAGAAGAAAGCCGAGCAAGAUAAAUCAAAGGGUUUUAAUAAAAACAUAUAUUAUUAUGACAGAACAAGUUUAAAAACUUUAAUCCAAUUCAAAUAUAUGGUAACACUUCACAAUAUAAAUUAAAUCAAUUGACGUCCAACUGAAUACAGAAAAAUAGUAUUGACGAUGCAUUGGAAUUUAGAGUUUUUACAGUCAAAGAUAAGUAGAUAACCCCAUGCUAUCACCUGCCACUGCCCUCAUGUACAUGGGAUUUUUUCAUCAAUGUAACUGAAACAGACUGCCUAGAUAUCCAAUUAAUCAUUCUUGUAAUCAAUUGUCUUAUCAAAACUAACAAUCAUGUGGCUUCAAUUGUCAGGUGCAUGAUCUAAUCGCCUUGUACUUAGAUCACAUCGUUCUUAUUAACAAGAAAAAAUCCUAGGUUCAACCGAUAUAUAUCAAAUACUUAUUGAAGCUCUACUACUUCACCUGUUCCAAUGAUUCAAUUAUUAAACAAAAAGCAUGAUAUGUGAAUUAUGAACCUAAAAUGGAAGUUCAAUAGAGGUAAC